GGAGUGGUAGGUUUUGGCACUAACCCUUUUCGUUUUGGGAUGUUAUCUCAUUGCAGUUGCUCUGCUGGUCGAGCUGGGAAACCUGUUGUUAAAUGGACUGAGGUACUUAAACAUCUGCUACAAUCGAUUUUUUCUUCUUUCCUCUAAUGUGCUUUCAUUAAUCCUCCUGUCUUGUCCUGCCAUUUGGAAUGAGCUAUAAUGUCUGUAUUUUUUCCAUUCUUUUAUUAAUAUGAUUGUGUCCUAGGUACAAAGUUGGUUCCAAAGUAGGCAACAAGACAGACCAACCAAAGUUACCUCAUCAACUAAUGAGUCAAAAAAAGGAUCUGAUCUCCCGGAUGCUUGCCCUCCAAUUAAGGAACAUGGAAGUUCUCAAGAGCCUAGAGGUGCUUCUUCUCUUAAUUCGAUUACUGAAACCGCAGAAUAUUGGAUUUUUUUUUUCAUUUUUCAUAUUUGUAGUAUUUUAAUUUUUGAAUUGCUCAAUAGCUAACUGCUGAACACUUGUAAUUGUUACUUGAUUUUUUUAUUUGGGAAUUUAUUUCCUGAUCACUAGUAAUUAAUUAAUUUUUUUUUUUUUUCAUAACCAGGAGAAAAGGUUCCAGAUGUAUCAGAAAUGGAAUUUGAAGCUAGAUCAUCGAAAGAUGGGGCAUGGUAAGCUUACAUAUAAUAAGCAAGAAAGGUUUGAAUCAUUACUUGAAUGUUUAAGUGCAUCCAGGUUGGAAGGCCUCUAGCAUCUUUUGAUAUCAGAAAAAUUUGCAAUUUAAGGCGAUCGCAUAAUGCUGUAGGUAACAACUGCAAGAUGGGGCAUAAGCAUUAUGUUUUUCCAUCAUUGUGGUUGAAUGUACAUAAAUUAAUGAGAAAUAUUGAAAGAGGAAAAUGCUUAUGCAAGUAAAAUGUUAAACAAAUUGCCAUAUAUUGAAAUAACUUUUUUUUGGCACCGAGAAACCAAAAUAUCAUGUUUUGACUUUGAGAUGUGGUUUCAUCUAAUCUCUCUCUAUCUCUCUUUCUGUGUGUGUGUGUGUGUGUUUAUUUCAAUUGUAGUUUACUCAUCAUAGCGUACCAACAGAAUGCUAUCUAUUGGUUGAAGGUUUUACAUUUUACCAAAAUAAGUACAAUUUAAACAUUGAUGUAGCAAGCCCAAGAGGUGGACAUAUAUGAUGUCAUUGGAAGUUCCAGUCUCUGACCCUAGAUCAUCAACAGCUGCAUUAUUAAUUGCAACCUUCAGAAAAUUCACAGAUAGCUGGCUUGCUUCAUUUUAGAAUUAAGUUUCGAUAAACUGAAAGUAGUUACACGUAUUGAUUGAUAUAUAGGCUUUAAAGCUUAAACAUUGAAUAAUUAUGUUUGGAUGUGCAGGUAUGAUGUUGAUAUGUUUCUAGCUCACAGGUUUCUUGAUUGUGGCGAAGCUGUAAGUAUUUAGCUCGUAACAAUUUGCUUUACUCUAUAGAGUAGUACUGAUUUUUUUAACUGAUGUUAAAUAUUCUUGUGACUAUGGCUAUAAUAUUUAAAAGGGGCAGGCUCCUAGACUAAAUUCUUUCUGUACAAAUAAAGCGGUAAUUAGGUGGUAUUGACCAUCAUGUAUGUGAUUAUCAAUAAACCAGUCUAUUUUGUUGUCUCUGUUUCAUAAUUCAAUUGAUAAAAUUUCUAAUUUAUUAAAGGAAGUUCGUGUUAGAUUUGUGGGAUUUGGGGCGGACGAAGAUGAAUGGGUUAAUGUAAAAAAUGCGGUGCGAGAACGCUCUGUCCCUUUGGAGCCUUCAGAUUGCCAUAAGUUGAAGGUUGGAGGUCAUGUACUUUGCUUCCAGGUGAUUUUAAACUCGUUGCUUUCUUGGAAACAAUAUCAGAACUUUUCUCAGUAUCUGCCAUUUCAUCUUAAACUUAGUUUGUCUUAUUUAAAUGUCAGGAAAGGAGAGAUCAAGGCAUCCAUUAUGAUGCUCACAUAGCAGAAAUUCAUAGAAGAAUGCAUGAUAUUAGGGGAUGCAGGUGCCUGUUUUUAGUUCGAUAUAAUCAUGACAAUACUGAGGCAAGUACUGCUUUAACAUUUUUCAUUGUCAAUAUUGAAUGGUUAUUAGGUUGUCCACUGAUUGGUUUUCUUUUAUCCAGGAGAGAGUUCGUUUGAGGAGAUUAUGUUGCAGGCCAACGUUUUAGAUCAUUGAUGCAAUGCACGAGAUUUAAUCUACAGCUCACAUUUUUGUCUUAUUGUAUUGAGCUAGUAGGAAUAUCGACUGAUAGUCUAAUGUCUAUUAACGCGGACAUUAUGGAUGUAAAAACCUUAACCACAUGCUACUACUAAUUGUCUAUAUGCGGUAUAUAUCCCAAUUGCUAUCUAUUCUGGCAUCAAGGCUUCCCACGCUCGUUGUGGAAUAUACCGAGAUGAUCGAAAGAAAUAAUCGUAUACACUCAAUGGCUGUAGCUUAUAUUUUGGACAGCCACAACUCUCAGAAUCUCUCUGGAAAUAGAUCUCUUGUUGUUACCAUUGAGAAGGGACCAGAAUUUGACGUGGUUUACUCCGUAACAUCAGAAACUUAACAAAAUACCAGUGCCAUAUCUAGCAUCACGGUAGGCUUUUUCUUUUUUUUUUUGGGAAAUUUUUAACCUACUCUUAAAUAAAUUGAUAUUUUGUACCGCACACUCAAAAAAAUUGACGUGUUGCACUGUGCCCUCAAUUCCGUUAAUUUUUCAAUUAUUUCUAACGGCUCCAUCUAAUUUUUGAUUGAAUGACAAAAAUGCCCCUCUAUAUGAAAAAAAACAAAAUUUUUAGUUCAUUUAAUUUUUUAAGGCUUUUUUUUUUCAAUUGCAAUAAAAAAAAUUUCUUGUUACAUGUACAUUGUCACCACUAUUAUUUUUCUUUUAAUUUUUUAAAGAUUUUUAUUUCAAUUGCAAUAAUAAAAAUAUCUUAUUACAUGUACAUUUGUCAUCACUAUUAUUUUUUCUUUAAUUUUUUAAAGAUUUUUAUUUCAAUUGCAAUAAAGAGAAUUCCCAUUAAAAUUAAUUUAAAGAGUGAACUUCCAAUUUUACCCCUCCACCGUUAAAUUUAACUGAGAAAAUAACGGAAUUAGAAACACGGUGCAACAAGUCAAAUUUAUUGGGGACACAGUACAAAAUAUCAAUUUAUUUAGGGAUAAAUUAAAAAUUUCCCUUUUUUUAUAGUACAUUAUGGUUGCCAAAUAAACUAAAAUGAUCAAAACAGGAACAGAAGGCUUGAGCAUUGUAUCCCACGAAAGUCCAUAUCCAUCAAAAAACAACCUGCCAAUCUUCUCUCCAUGUUAAUGUAUGAACGAAAGCACAAGAGGCAAACCUUUCGAUUUCUCGCUUAAGUCAAUGCCAUCAGAUCAAACGGUGCACCUUAGAACUUGAAAAUAUUGUUAGCAACUGACUAGUGAGCAUAUUUUGUCAAACCGUGUUUUAACAGCAAAUGCAAGCCAAACUCAAGACAUAGGGUACGCUUAGAAUUGUUUAGAAUUGAGGUGCUGUAACUUUUAAGUUACACCUACUGUGGAAAAAAAACUGCAACUAUAAAACAAAAAUUAGUAAUAUAUAAUAAAUGUAAAUUUUAAAUAAUAAUUUUGAUUAAAUUAUUAAAAAUGUAAUAAAUUUUCUAUUAUACAAGUGAAAAAUCAUAUCAACAUAACUUCCAAACUGCAAUAGCUAGUAUUUACCAAACACUUUAAUGCUGUAACUUUUAAGUUACAACUGCUCAACCUUGAUCCCAAACGCACCCAUAAUAAUCCUAAACCCAUCUAAUAUAGGAGAAAUAUAGAGGCGUUGCAGCGAACACUAUUGAAGAGGGGUAUAAGCAUAGACAGAGAUGCAUUUGUUUGUCGAGUUCAAUGUUAGUUAAAAGUUCUUCGAGUAAACCACGAGAAGUCUACAAAUUCACCAGUUCCAAAACUAUAAAGAAUCCUGUCCAUUCUAUGAAACACAAAAAUAUCAUGAGCAACGUCCAGUCAGUACUUCGGCUCUGGGUGGGGGGGUGUCCUGAGCAUAAUGAAGUUGCCACUUCAUUGACAACUUGGGGGAAAAUGAGAGCAGUAAAUUUUAGUAUCACCCUGUAUGAAUGAAAUGAAAAACAGAUCAGUCAUGCAAUAAUACAAUGACCCAACCUGCUUUAGCUUGUGAACAUAAAUAAUUAGCUGUGUCAAACUUGACAAUAUUUAGGCACCAAGGAAAUGAAAGAACAAGGAGAUGUUUGGUUAAUAACUUCACCAUACUCACCUAAUCCAUGGAUGUACGGAAGUUCAGGGACAUAGUCUCAAAAUUAUUAAACCUUAAGUUCAGUGAUAAUAUUGAAAAAACACAGCCACAGAGAUUCAACAACACUGAUGAAGCUUUUGCAGAAAUAAAGGCCCAGAGUCUUACCAGCUGAAUACACAGAAGUAACCAUUGCUUGGUAUAGUGGCCAACAAAAAGAUUACAGCUUCCACUGAGUACAUAAAUGUAAUAUCAAUGAUAAUUUAUAAAUAAAACUGGCCACAAUGCGAGCAUGAGAUAAGGCAAGAAUUCACGCAGACAGAUAGUAGUUCCAGUAACCCAACAACAUUCCCAAGACUUACCGAGUUCACAAUUACUUGGCUUCGUGUUACCAGAAAUCUUAUGCUGGAAUGAAAGCCUUGACAACUGUGCUUCAGCUGUCCAAGAUCUUGACCAAAAUUAGUAACCCUUACAUGAUAAUAAACACAAAGACUAAAAGAAGAUUAACAUAGUCAAGCCUUAUUAAACUUAACAAACAAAAUGAUGCCACGACUUACCAUGCUGACAACUGCUUGCUUUCUUGGUACACUUCCUACAUAGGUAUCUAAAUAGGCUUGCCUACUGUGUUUCUGCUCCCAAGAUCUUGACCAAAAUUAGCAGCUGAUACUUAAUUAUACACAGAAACACUAGUAGGUAAAAAUAGUCGAGCCUCAUUGUGCAGAUAAACUUACAGAGUUAGACAGAAGCAACAUGCAUUAUACCUGGCUAAACAUUAGUCUAAACAAAGGACAGCAGCAAUUAGAGUGUGGUCAAGACAAAAAGUACCAAUAUUUGAAUCUAACAUAGAAUUUAAUACAUCAAUGACUAGCCUGAGAAAAUAAUUUGCACAUGGUUACUCCACGAAAGCCAGUGCGUGAAUUGAUCAAUGACCCAAUACAUAUCUAAAAUUAUAAAUUUUAUCCAUGAAAAGGCUUAUCCUGAGAGAUUCAUAAUUCUCUGAAUAAGCAAUCACCAUCAGCUUGUAAGUCGGAAAAUCAGUGUUACCAGAGCCACUCAGGUCACAUAGUAUCUUGUAGGGAAUAAUGUAUAGAAAAAAAAAAUGGUAGUUGAAUAUGUCUGCACUAGAAGAGAUGGAGGUUUCGGAGGUUGGAAAUCAGCAUGCUUGAGCAAAUGGAACAAGAGCUUUUCAAUAUUCAUAUAAACUUGGGAUGGGGCAAGUAUGUGCAUAAAUUUAUAGCAUAAAAAUUGAUAACAAUAAGCUUACAAAACCACUAGAGAGUAAACAAAAUAGAUAACACUCUCUCUAUUUCUUUCAGGUCAAAUUGAGACAUAACAGAAUCAAGUCCAUAACAGGGUGAGAAAAAUAACUACAGACUGACUGGCUGGACAGUCUCUACAUUGCAACCCAUUUUCCAGGUUCCCAAAAUACCAUUCAUGAUAAAACAUGACCUGUGCACAUGCCUUCAACCUAGAGAUUAUUUUUCAAAACUAUACAAGCGCUGUAACAAUAGGUAACAGUUAACCAUCCCAGUGGCUAUGAGAUAUCUAAUACUAGUUCAUAUCGAUUUCAUCACAAUUGAAAGACAGUGCACAGGUGUUUGUAGCAGAUGCUACAUAAUAGCAACAGUAAAGUAGAGUUUUGCAUACAUCAACUCCCAAAUGCCAUGAUUGGUCAACUCAGCUAAAGAGGAACUCAGCUUCACAAGCAGGUGAAGUAAAUGGUGAAGACUGUUUGCAGUUGUAGAAGUGCAAGAUCAAAAUAAAUCAAGUGGCAUUCCAACAAAACUUUGAAUUCAUGAGACAGUUCGACCAUAGCAAACAGAUGCGAUAUAAAGAUUCUUUGCCCAUUUCUCCUGCAAGAUAAAAUAUAAAGAAAGGCAGCACCAAGUGACUACUUACUCUCAUAGGAAUAAACUAUGGCUAAAGGAAAAACAAAUAGAAAUAAAGUAGUUUAAAAUGAACAUGAUAAGAAUAUCUCACAAUCCACCUUGACAUGAGUGCUAGGAAAAGCAGAAGUUCGGAGAGUCUCUUGAGUUUCAUCAGCCGGUUUUCUUCUAGGAACACUGAGAACAAAAGCAGCCUGGUCCCAGGUAGCCGCAGUUGAUGUGAUACGAUAGCCACUAUCCCAUCUCCGGUGAAUACCUUCACUAGGAUACAGAAAAUCCAGUUCCACAACCUGCAGUGGAAAAAUUAUUUUAUAACAGAGAUAUUUUCUUAGACACCAAAAAGAUUCCUGCUUCCACAGAUAUUCACAAAUCCCAACAUAUACCUGAUCAGAAAAUCCUGCACCACGAGACAUAACAAUUGCCCAUCUACUUCCAGCAGUGGCCAUAGCAGUUACAUAAAAACCCUCCCUCCAUUUUUUAUUGAUCCACUUAAAGGGAAAUGAAUCACUGACUUUAUAGGAUUGCUGCAAAUACUGUGUACCUAUUCAAAUAAAACAAUAAAAAUCUAAGCAACCUGGGUAUUAAAAAAUGUUAUACCAUAGCUGCUUUGCAGAUAUACCAACUAACCUUUAGACAUUACAACUAAUGAGCUACCAUUAUUCGCUCCUGCUAUUGCACUAAUGUAGUAGUUUUUCUCCCACUGUUCCAUAAUCCAUUCCUUCAAAAUAAGACCAGAAUUUGCAAGGUUAAUUUGUUGAAUUAAAAAUAAAAGAAACCCUACAUGCAAGAAAAUACAUCCUCAUCACCUAGUGAAAUAAAUGAUGCUACUUGCCCUACUUCAGAUUUAUAAUAACCGACUUCAAAAUGGAAAUGUAACAACCUUAUGAAGAAAGUAAGGCGAAAGUUCAUAGACUUGAGCUGAGAAACCAGUGCCUGCAUCCAUAAUUAGAGCCCACAGGUUUGAACAUGAAGCUACGCUACUGAUAAAUAAUCCAUCUUCGUUUCCUUUCUCAAUAUGUUGGGAAAGUCUCGCAUCAGCCACAUUAUAAUGAUAUCUACAAAGAAGGGUAACAGGUUAACUAAUUAACAUUCCAUCAUUAACUUAUUAUCCUUCCAUCAUUAAAUUGAAGAGUGCUGAAAGCAAUUUCCAAGUAAAUACCUCUGCUUCAUAGGCCGACGGGCAUUAUAGACACUGAUCCACUGAGUUGCUGGCAUUCCCAUUCGAACCUUUUUCUUUGGUUGCUCAUCUUCUUCCUCCUCCAUUGUCAAUCGUCCUCUCUUAUGUCCUACUUGAUAUAUAAGCUUCACCAACAGAAAGUAUACAUGUCAAAUGAAAAAUCUAAUCGGAAAUCUGAAAAGUUCCUGACCCAACAGCCCUUAUGCCAGAAAACAUAGAUGCAAGAACAUGAAAAGUACCUUCUGUGCACCAUCAGUGUUAAUUGGCCUAAUAUCUGGGUUUGGGCCAACAAUCCCAUCAAAAAGAGAGAUGUAUUUUGCAUAAUUGGGUUCCUCAUCAAACUUCAAAUUAACCACAUACUCAACAAACAGUCGAAAAGGCUGGGGACAAAAGCAACACAAAGUUUCUGGGGAAGUGGCCAUCUUCUUCUUGCAAACAAGGAAUCCUUUAUUUUCUCCCUAAGCAAACCACUAAAUUAGAAUAAUGGACAAACCAAUGACAAAUACAACACCAAACAUUAGAAAAACUGCGCACCUGAUAUCCUUGCCAAGGAAGCCGACCACGAAGAAGAAAAAUGAGUGUAUAAGCAAGAGACUCAAGGUCAUCUCUCCUGCUACCAGUUCUACCAAGAUGAGCAUGCACACUAGCGUACCGCACUGUUCCCCUGUAGUUCAUGAACCAAUGAAUCAGAAUCAAUAAAAUAAUAUUUCAGAAGUAAAAGCUGUAAGUAAAUGAACGUAUCACCUAAUAGUAAAAACAAUUUAAUUCAACCUGAAAACAUCUGGACGUUGAUCAUAUUCGACAUGUUGACCAGUUGAACUAUCUCGCCACCUGGUUGCUGUAUUAUCACAAAGACAGCAAAAAUGAUGACUCAUUAGAGAAACUCUAUUGCUAGAUUGAGAAGAUAAAAGUGUUAUAUAAAUUACCUAACCCAAGGUCAACAAGAAAAAGCUUUUUCUCAUCAGGAGUUUCAGGGGGACCAAGCAAAAAGUUCUCAGGUUUCACAUCCCCGUGCACAUAUCUGCCAAAAUAAAGCAGCAACGUUAUGGUACCAUAUACAUGGCAAUAAUAAAAGAUAAACAAGAAAGAACCAUCGUUAAUGAUUUUGAAAAAGAAAUUAUAAUGAUUAUAAGGAGACAUGAUAGUAAGAAAUAUCACCCUCUCGAGUGCAUCUUCUCCAAUAUAGAGAUUGCUUCAAUGGCAAUGCAUGCAACCAUUUCAAUUGACAUCCUGAGUUGGAAAAGCAAAAGUAAACACUCGAUGGAGAUAAAGUGGUCAAGUCAAUAACAGCUAUAGGAUGGAUAUCAUCUAGCUAUCAGUUUCCAUAAGAACUUACGUGUGUGAAUUAUUAUUCCAAACAUCCCAUAAACUGGGACCAAGCAUAUCCAUGACCUGCAUGCAGAAUUGAAUAAUCAUUCUAACCAUUUCAAAAACCAUAAGAUUAGAAGCUACAACCUCUUGGUCAUAACAAACAGAAAGUGCGAUAACACAAACACAUACCAUGACAUAGUAGUCACCUUGUCGGCCCUUGAAGUGAACCCGUGGUACACCAUGACUGCCGCCAAGCGCACUGUGCAGACAGCAGAGAAAGUAAAAGUUAAACCUCACAUACAACAUGACUUCUCAAUUUUUAUAUUAACAUACAAAAAUAUAAUAAAUGAACAAAACUAAAGAAAGAGCGAAAAACAAACAAACGAUAAGAUCAGACAGAAGCCUCACUUGUAAACUUGCCACUCAUAAGGCGGUCCAUAAUUACAACCUUUGCUACUUCUAUGUUCAAACUUUAAAGCUACCUAAAAUACACAGAGAAACACAAGUGAGGUGCAAUAAUAAACAACAUAGAAAGAAAUUUUGGUAACAUUCCCACACCUCUACAGCUCCUGGGCCAGUUCUCUCAUUGGUAUUUGUCGGACCAAUUCGUCGACCAACAUAGACUUGUCCAAAUCCACCUUUUCCCAGUUUCCUAUCUAUUCUGUACACUGGGGAACCACCAACUUGGACCUGUUAUCAUGAAAUAAAGGAAUAAAUGUAUUUAGAAUUCAGUAACAACAUUUCGCAUCUUUACAGGUGAAAUCAGUAACCUGCCAACUGAAGACAUUAUUCACGACAACAAUUAAGAAGAUAGAUAGAGAAAAGAAAUACCAUAAAUAAUCCAUAACACAAUUUUAGACAAGUGAUAAAGUGUAAAAAGAUGUAUAAUGCUAGCAGUCAAAAAACAAAUUACAACUACAGCUACAAUUUCAAAGACAGCUCUAGGAAAACUGAAAAGAUAAAACUUCAAUAUUCAUCUCCUACAUUCCCUCUAAUGCCAAACCAAAUAAACCCUCAAAAGGAACCUUUAAUUCAAAAUUCAAAAUUUUCUUUCCUUUUCCUAAGUUCAGCUCUCAGCUCACAAAAAAAUUGAAGAUUAAAUAACACUGAACAUUUACCCAAUUUUUUAAUUCCCUUUUUCUUUCCCCUUUUUUUGGCAUUUUCCUUGAAAAAAAAAAUGAAAAUGGUUCAAAAGAAAGGAAAAAGGAAAAAUUAACCUUCUCAGGAAGAGGAGCUGUGCUUCCUUCAUCCUCGGCUCCGGCACCUUUAUCGGCACUACGGCCACCGCUAUCGUACUCAUCCAUCUUUUUCACCGCAACCUCUUCUCUCAAAAAUCUAAUGUCUUGCUUUUCCUUAAACGACGUCGUUGCUUCCUCAACGUUCACAAUAUUAUUAUUGUCGUCGGCAGCGUCAACGAUCGUGAUAUUACCUUUCUUUCUCCUCUGUUGCCGACUUCGAACAGUCAGCCUUUUGUUGUUGUUAUUAUUAUUAUUAUUAUUAUUAUUGUCGGGUUGUGGACUCCGGUUCGGAUUGACGGCGGCCCGGUUUCUGCGAGCUCUGCUGCUACGCAGUUCACGCAUCGUAUAGAUGAUGUUCGUCCAUGAAUGAGAAGGUUCAUGAAGCUUCUAGAAUCCUCAUCGGUCGGUCCAGAUUCGAUCGCAGCUCUGACCGAUGAACGGUGAUUACGAUUUCGUUGAUUUUUGCAAAUGCAGUGAGAGAAUAUCAGGGUUUGCAGAGUGAGAAUUUGGAGAUCUGUGGAGGGAAAUGGAUUCUAGAGAGAGAUGCUGAUGAGAGAAAAGGAAAUUUCUCCUUGAUUUUUUUUCGUUUAAUUACUCUGUUUUUUCUACUUUUAUUUUUAAUAUUCCUCACUUAAAUAUUUAUCGAUGUUCGUAAAAUUUCUUGUGGUCUUAUGGAGGUUAAAACGGGCGCCAGAAUGCGAAAAUUGUCCAGAUAAUAAUAAUAAUAAUAUAAUAUAUAUCAUUCUAACUACGUACAUCAUUAAACAAAAUCAUUUUGACGUGUUUUUUAUUCUUGGAAAUAUACGGAAAUUAAUUGACAAAAAAAUUAUUCGUUUAAUUAAUUUUCAUGCUUGCAUUGUUUUGUAGUUGAAAAGAAUAUAUAUAAAUAUAUUUGUAAUUAAACUUGUUUUACACCCAUGUAAUGUUUCUUAACAAAUAUUUAAAUAAUAGGUGCUUGCAAGGUAGGGAACGAUAUAGUUUGUUAAAUGUAACGUAGAGUGCUCCUACUGAUUUUAUAUACUAGAGUUAGAAUAAUGGUGCAUUAGAGUUUAAACACAUAAAAUUUUAGCAUAACUUAAAUAUUUAACAAUCAUUUUUUAAAAAAACUACAUAUAUUUCAUAAGUCAAUCAAGCAUCUAUGUAAAAGAAAAAGACGAUUUUUUUUUAUAUGAGAGAAUUUAGGUUAUUUCACUUGCGACAACAUUAAAUUUUCAUCGCCCUAAUAUUAUUAUUAAGCUAUCAUGCACCUCACUUUGUCGCUUUUAUUCAUGUAAUUAUAUAUUAAAUGUAUUUAAAUAUUAGAAUUAAACGUCUGGUGUUGAGUUGAUUUAUUCUCAACUUCACUAUACGUGUAAGUAUAAUAAUAUAUUAUUCAAAUUUAAUUAAUUUCAUAUUCUUAAACACUAAUAACUAGUGGUAUUUUAUUAAAAAAAAGUUAACAAAAAAAAUCAAAUAAGAAUUGAAUCUAAAUCCCUCGAAAUAUUACAUUCUUUUAGAAUAAAAAUCUUGAACUUUUACAAUACCGAUAAAAUAAUAAUAAUAAUAAAAGUCUAUCAACUAGACUAUCAUUUGAUACAAUCUUUUAAUUUCGAGCGUAAUGAGACAAUUCUAGAGUCAAUAAAAACCAAAAAGAAAGGAAAGCAUUUAUCAAACGAGCGAGCUUUUCUUUUGAUGCUUUAGAAUGUUCGAGGCCCUGGCUCUUUUACAAGAUGAGCCGUGUUUGAGAUGAUGUGGUUACUUGGGUAUUUAUAUAUAAUGAUGAUUGGUUUGAUAAUUAUAAAGAACACUCGUGAUGGGGCAUGAAAGAACUUUAUGGCAAGGCUACUAGCCUACUACGUAAUGUACCUGUAUAAUAAUUUGCCCCCGAAUAAGAUAAUGUCUGAGUGAACUUAAGGACGAACAACAUAAAGUAAGAACGGAAAGGGGGGGAAAAAGAUUUAAAGACGUGAUGGGGACACUUUAGGGGGUACAUUUCUUAGGAUUCCUCCUAAUUCGUUCGUCUUUGGAGAUAAUAAAUAAGUUAAUAGGAAGUCCAAUUUUAUUUCACAUCAGCUGAUGGCUACGAGCGUUGUUUGUGUGAGAGUUACGUGUAGAAUAUAAUUAUACAGUAUUGCAAUGACACUUAACGAAAAUUCAUUCUCUUUUGGGCUUGUCAUAUUUUGCAGUGCGAAGAAUCGGAAUCCGCAUCUUCUUUAGUGAAAAAUGAAAGAGAAUAUGGAUGCAUCAUCUAUCUUUCAUUUCAUAUAUCUCCAAGCACUGAAACCUUUGUUCCAUGGCACUUAGCCUAGCAAUAGCAACCCCUCAGUCCCCACGGACCCCACGGGCACUUGCCAUCGACCGAAAGACGUCGCUGCUUCGCUGCUUCUGUAAAUGAUAACCCCUCUUCGAGUAGCCCGGCCCAUUAAUCUACAGACCAAUCUUGAUUUUUUGGGCUUGUUAACCCCAAGUCCCCAACCAAAAAGGAAUACGAGCUCCGUUUCAUUUUGGUUGAGGAGAAUGAGCUUCGCGGGGACGAAUGAUUGACCCUCUCGAGUUUGUUGUUACAAGAUCAAUUGAUCUGGGGUGAGAUUCAAAUUCAAUCAUGGGUUUGAUCAAUAUCACAGCAUUAUGAAUUGUAGGUGCUCAGUUUUGUGUAGUCAAAGUUCUAUUGUGCCACGUGUCCAGUAUCUUUUAAAUAAUAAAAAAAAAGCGAUAAAACUUGGGACGUGCAUGAAAUUAAGGAAAAAGAAAAAAAGUUGUAUACUCCAGAACAGGACAUUGCAUAAAGGUUAGAGACGUAAAAGAAAAGGCGUGCCUACUCGGGCAACUAGAUGGGGCUGAACAUUCUCCCAUCGACAGAUGAAAAAAAAUCUCUCUCUGAUGGAGCAUUGACUUAUUGACAAUCUUUUAUUAAUUAAAUGUUAACUCUUUAAGUGUUAAAAGAGUGUCUUUACAAUUAAAAGACGGAUGCUCGAUAUUUUGUGAGUGAAAAGCCGAGUGACAACUCUGACAUUUUUUGGCAUGAAGGAUUUGGAGCACCCUCAGUAUAAUCGAUAAUAGAAUAGCCUUUUAAAUGAAAGUCAAAUAUAGUCAGCCGCUAUGGCAAUCGUUCCUAUUAAUAAUGUUUUGGUCUAUAUCUUUAAUUAUGGCCGAUCUUUGACUUAACUAUCAACUAGGAGCUACACACAUUAUUUCAAAUAUAGCUAUAUAUGUGUGCAUAUAACAUACACACACAUAUACAUAUAUGUAUAUAUGUAUAUAUGUAUAUAUGUAAAUUUGUCAAGCUUAUGGAAAUUAAUUAAUCUUCAGGAAAAAUAAUAUACAGAGAACCGGCUGAUUAAUUAUUGAGAAUUUUAGACAAACUAGAUUAAUUAUUAAAGGAAAUUUUUUUUCCAGUCUCCUAUAGUAAAUCCGCCCUUACACAUACGCAUAUAUAUAUACGUACAUAUAUAGUUUCAAUCUUUGAAAUAACGUGAGUAAUUUUUUAAAAUUAACAAUUUAAUUAAUUAUGUGAUCAUAUAAAACCUUUGAACUGCAUCUCUUGAUUUUAUUGAUUGAGUUCAAUAUAGCAAUGUUAACAGUAAGGGUGGCCAAACUCAAUCCAAUCCAAUGGAUCCAAUCUAACCUAAUCCAACCUAAUUUAAUUUUGACGGGAUGAGUAGGUUAUUAUGGAUUAAUUGGGUCAAUUUUUUCGAACCCAAUUAACAGUUGGGUCUGGUUGGGUUAAUUAUGAUAAACCCCAUUUAACCCAACCCAACCCACAUAAAUAAUAAUAAUAAUAAUAAUAUAAUUCUCAAUUUGAAAAAUCUUAAAAAUCUGAACGGCUAAUCUAGUUUUUAUCCUCUUUUUAUUCUUUUAUAAAAGAGACUAUUUUGUUCUUACAUUUACUAUAAACUCUAAUAUCAAAACUAAAAUUACUCUUUUAAAUCUCAAUUCUCAGUCAACUAAGGUAUUUCUCUGAUUUAUUCAUUUUAUAUCCUUUAUUUUUUUUUUUUCGAAUACUAGACAAUGAAUAGAAUUUUCAUGCUAUAAUAUAUUUAUAUUGAAUUUUAAUAAGUUUUAUUACAAGUUUCAUGUCUUAUUAUUUAUUUAAUUUUUAAUUUUGAUUCAAUCUUCAAAUUUUCAAUCCAAUCAACCCACCCCGAUAAUUUAAGGGUUAGGUUGGAUUGAGUUAAAUAUGUUUAUUUAAUUGGAUUGAAUUGUUUUUAUUUCAACCAUUUAAUAAUGGGGUGAGUUAGGUUUUCACAAACACUAUCCAACCCAACCCAUACCCACCCAUAAUUAACAGGGUUAAGAGUUAAUUAAAAGAAUAUUUAUAUUUGAACCAAACUAUAAGAUAAUUAUAAAAUUAGAUGGUGUUAUAAUGAUAAGUAAAAAAUUAGUAUUAUUUUCAAUUAAAAUUAUAACACCUUACGGUUUUAUGAAUAUUUUUAUCACCGUUGUAUCACCAUCAGGACUCUUUAUUAUUUUUAGACAGCAGGCAUAAAUUUAUAGCAUAAAAAUUGAUAACAAUAAGCUUACAAAACCACUAGAGAGUAAACAAAAUAGAUAACACUCUCUCUAUUUCUUUCAGGUCAAAUUGAGACAUAACAGAAUCAAGUCCAUAACAGGGUGAGAAAAAUAACUACAGACUUUCAUUAUUAUUAUUAAAAUUUAUUUCUUUUAUUAUUUUAAUUGUUAUUAUACUGUAAUUAAUUCAUUAAUAUUAAUAUUUAUCUUGUUAUUAUUAAAAUUAUUUUUAUUAAAAUAUAUUAACUUUAUUAUUUUAAUUAUUAUUAAUUAUUGUUGUUAUUACUAUUAUUAUUAAAACUUAUUAAUAAUUUUUAUUAUUAUCAUUAUUAAUAUUAUUAUUUCAGUUAAUUUUGUUGUUAUUAUUGUUAUUGUUAAAUUUUUUAAUUUUUUGUUUUAAUUAACAUUAUUGUCAUAAUUAUUAUUUUUAGUUUUAUUAUUAUUAUUGUUUAAUUAUAAUAUAUACAAAUAAUAUUAGGGACACAAUUAACAAAUGGCAUUUUAAUAACUUAUAAUAGUCUAUUCCAAUUAUAAAAUAAAGUAAACACAUAAAUGAGAAUGUUGUUCAUUCCGAUUCCUAUUCCUAUAGCUCAAGUAAAUAAUUCAAAUAUCAAUCAAAUAUAUAUAUAUACUCAAACUUAUGCAAACUUCAGCCAAAUUCAGACUCAUUCAGAUUUCAGACAAAAAAAAUAAAUAAAUGUUACCUUAUUCUCAGGAUCAAAUUUUAAAUUUUUUUUUCAUAUUUUUCAACUGCUGUACCGUACAUCCGCCUUGGCCGUACAGCAGAAUUAAUAUAAAAAUAAUUAUUAAUAAAUUUAAAUAAUGAGAGUAGAUCUAGAAAUGAUAGUAAUAAUUAAUAAAUUACGAAAUAUUUAUGAAUUUGUGGAAUAAAUAAACGAGUAUUAAACCGUGCAUUGUAAUUGCCUAAUAUCAAUAAUAAAAGUCCUCUUAAAUUUCAUACUUAUUCCUUAUUCAUAUCAUUUAACAACUAAUCUAAUAAAUAAAAUAAUUAUUAUUAUAUUUUUUCCUGGCAUUUCAAAACAUAAGAGGGAUUGCAAUGAAAAAAACCAAAAUAAAUACACCCUGCCGUUGGAUUUGCUUUUACCAUUCUUGCCCUUGGAUCCAAUGGUUAAAUUACAAAAUGACAAAAGUAGUGGUAUGUUGCAACUGUUGCAACAUAGGCGGCUCCUAUUUUUAGUAUCAUGUGUCAGUUGUUUUUAAAAUAUAUGCGUAAAUAUCUGCACAUUUUUAAUUUGUAACAAACAAGAAGUUCCAGCCACCGGGUUCCCUUUUACUCUCGAGUCAUUAACUAUUGCCACUUGAUAUUGAGAAAUUCGGUGUAAAAUUGAAAAACUAAAAACGAAAAAUCAACUGAACGGAAAAUAAGAAAAUUGUUUCAUAAAUAUGUACAGUAGACGGGGGGGGGAUAUUGCCACGUCAGCCGUAGAGGGUGGCCGCAGCUUCCCGGGCCGCGUUCCAUUUCUGCAGCCUCAGCUGCUGGUAAAACUUCUUAAUGAACUCCUCAGCCUCCUUGUCCACGUGGCAGUCCUUGUCAUCAUCCCUCAACGGGAACGGCGAGUCCGUUACCCUCACCCCACGCCUCACUGGACCCACCAACGGCGACGCCUCUGCCACGUCGACAUCCGACGCGGCCACGUCAUCAUCCUCACGGUAACAGCCGGCCACUGCAGCAGAAGCAGCCUGGCGUUUGUUGUCCUUAGCGUGGUGAAGGAUUUUGCGCCUGCUGACGUGGAGGCUGGGGAUGACGUACGGUUGAUAAGCCGGACUGUUACUGCAGCUAAACUCGUACUCUCGAGGACAGACGAAAGAGGCGUGCAUGUCAUGUGACCGGCAAGUGAUGGCGCCGUAGUCGUAGAGCACGGCGUCGUUUAGAGCCUUCCCUAUGAACUUGCUCUUGGUGAUACCCUUCUGUAUCAUGAACAAAAUUACACGUACCAUUCUGCCUAGCUUCUUUGCUAUCACCGGCGGCCUCGCCUCCAUUAUUUUUAUUUAUAAGUUAUAGAAUAAAGUUAUUGUGUGAGCUUAAAGGGAAGAGGAAGAGAGGUAUUUAAAGAGCCGAAAGAGCAGACUGACCACAUAAACAAUAUUUUUUAUUUUGUGUUGUAAUAAUAACAAAUUAUUUUUACUCAUUGUUUUGUUUUGCGCUGUCUGUUUUUUGUUUGAUAUUUUAAUUUGUUAGUUCAUUUCUUUAAUUCCCAGUGUGAGUUUCAAGUUAGUUGCAAACAAGUGUUUUUAAUUUAGUGUCUAAGUAUUAAUUAAUUAAUUAAUUGGUGUAGGGUCUUGAUUUUGAUUGAGUUGACAAAUUUCGGAAUAUUGAUUAUAUUAUCAUCAUGCUUAUCGCAUUCAUUAAUGAGAGAUCAAAACGAUAAUCCAAUCCAAUUCUGGUGGGAAUUUCGGUUUGACUAUUGCAAUUAAAACUUGGCAUUGGUAAUCGAUAGUACAUAAAAAAUAUAUAUACAAAAGGAAAAAUAAUCAAAUUUUGAAGAGAAUUGUCAAGUAGACCCUAAUCUUAUAAUUAAGAAUGGACAAAAUAAAUAUCUUCCUUACUUUGAACCGUUUGAAUUAUUAUUGUGUGUGCGGUUCUUUCAUCUCUUCUUUUUGUGAAACCAACCUCUCUAUCAGACAAAAGAAAAAAAACAAAGAAAAGAAAAGUCUUAACGGUAUAUUUGAUAUCCCAAAAGCGAUGGGAAAAAAAAAACAAGGAAAAGAAUUAUGCGCGUCAAUUCUUAAAAUGUUAAGUGUCAUCUAAGUAAAGUUAAUUGAAAAAAGUGAAAGUAUGGUAUAAUAUUAGGAGAUGAUUAUAUCUUAAUACAUAAGUUAUUGACCAUGAAUAAUGUGACUCAAAGGUAGGGAUGACAAUGGGGUGGGGGUGGGGAGACCUAUCUCAUUCUCCACCCCAUUAAAAAAUUCACCUUCAUUUUCCAUUUCAUUCCCCAAUAAAUUUAUGCUGUGUUUAUUUUAUGGAGUGUGAGUGUGGAGUGUGGAUUCCUCCAACUCCAGUGUUUACUUACAAUUUUUAAGAGGGGAGUGGGAUUCCCACUCCGUGGAUCCCACCUAAUUUUGGAGUGGGGAGUGGGAUUCCCACUCCCAUGGGGGGAGGUGGGAGUGGGAAUCCACUCCCCCCCUCUUUCCUUUUUACCCUCAUAAUUAAAAUAAAUAAAUAAUAUUUAAUAAAAUAAAUAAUAUCAUAUUUAUUAAAAAUAAUAAUUAUAAACAUAUUUAUUUUAUUAAAUUUAAUAAAAUAAAAAUAAAUAAAUAUUCUGCUGUACCGUACAUCCGCCUUGGCCGUACAGCAGGUAAAAUUGAAAAACUAAAAANNNNNNNNNNNNNNNNNNNNNNNNNNNNNNNNNNNNNNNNNNNNNNNNNNNNNNNNNNNNNNNNNNNNNNNNNNNNNNNNNNNNNNNNNNNNNNNNNNNNNNNNNNNNNNNNNNNNNNNNNNNNNNNNNNNNNNNNNNNNNNNNNNNNNNNNNNNNNNNNNNNNNNNNNNNNNNNNNNNNNNNNNNNNNNNNNNNNNNUACGGUACAGCAGUAAUUUUUUAAUUAUAAAUUAUAAUUCUUUAAAUAAGGGUAAAAUUAUAAUUUAAAAUUAUUUACUCUCAAUCCAAGAUAAUGUAAACACAUGAAUUGGAUUCUGGUUUCAAUUUCAUUCUCUCAUUCCAAUGUAAGUAAACAACCUACUCUCACUCCCACACUACACUCCUAAUCCUAGGAUUCCCACUCCUCAAGAUUCAUACUCCAGUCCAAAAUGUAAACGCUACCUAAUCCUAGUGGGGUGGGAAUGGGGAAUCUCUACACGGGGAAUGAUUUCCUCAUCCUCACUCCAUUCCUCAUUUAUUUUUUUUAUAAUAGAUACAGAUACGUAAUUUCAAUAAAUUAAAAAUUAAAGACUUAAAUAAAAUCAUUAUCAUAUUAUAAAGUAUUUAAAUUAUUUUUUAAAAAUUUCCAAAUGUUUGAAAUAAUAUCUUGAAAUGAUAUCAAAAUUGAAAAAUGUUUUAAGAUAGCAAUAUUUUAGGAGAGAAAAGAAAAUAUAAAAAUGUUUUAGGUUGAAUAAAAAUUAUAUUAUAAGGUUUUCUUUUAAUUAUAGUCCAUUUAUGUUAAGUAAAAAUAAAAAGAAAAUUAAUUAACUAACAUUGUAAUUGAUAAAAUAAAAGUUAGAAAAAUAUUUAUAUAUAAUGGGGAUUGGGGUGGGGAGUACAAAACCAAACCACACCCCAUUAAGAAUUUGAGAAUUAUUUUUCCCCCAUUCCCCACUCUAUUCCCCACAAAUUAUUCAAAAUCCACUCCAUUUGGGGUGAAGCCCUAAACCCAUGAAAGAUUUUGUCAUCCUUACUCAAAGGCAGUGGGCUUUACUUCAACAGAAGAGCAACUGAAAUUUUUGACAAACAUAAAUGAUUCUGUCAAUUUUUUUUUUUUUUGCGAGAAAAAUGAUUUUGUUACGGUGCUUUGUAAAGCUUCGAGGUUUCUAGUUUUAAGCCAAGCUUGAUCAGGUUGGUAGGAAUUAGGUCUAACAAUAGGUCGUGUUGAGCAGUAUCGUAUUAAAUUAUAUAUUUGAACUCAUCUAUUAAUUUAUUUGAGUCAAAAAAAUAUAAAUUUGAAUCCAUUCGUUAGUAUUAUUGUGAUAUCCAAAUUGACCCAUUUAACUCCCUCUUUUUAAUAAAUUUAAAAUAAUUGUUCGAUAUUCUGUCAUAUAUUUUUAAUUUAAAACACAAAUACUAAUUUUCAAAAUAGGCUCUUUAAAAAUAUAAUAACAAAUAGAAGAAAACCUUAAUAUUUAUCAUAUAAUAAAAUAAUUGUUCGAUAUUCUGCCAUGGUGGCUUCUCUGACCGAAAAGGUGUGGGGGGGAGGGCCCAAUCAUGCGGUAUAGCACUUCCCAGCCGUUGAAGAAUUUGAUUUAGAUUUUUCACCCACCCAAAAGAGAAAGCAAGCAAACUUUUAACUUAUGAUAAACGAUAUUAAUGUAAUGAUUAGAGAAAUCUAAAGAGAGAAACUGAUAAUUUAUUGAGUGAUCGUGAAGUUAAUUAGGUAGAGAUCUUUCUUAAGCUUUACGUUACACUAUCCAUUUGAUUUAAGGGGGAAAAAAAAACCCUGCAAGCUUUGAAUAGUUUAUUCAAUUAUUUGAUCUGUCCAUGAUUAAUGCAGAAACUAGAGUAGUCUACGCAGUGGUUUCAAGCCUAAUGAUAAAAAGUAAAACUAAUCAAUUGCAAAAAAAAAAAAAAAAAACAAAUAGUGCUGUAAAAACUACAAGUUAAAAUUUUAACUAGUCAGUUAAUUAGGGUCCAUUUUCAGAAUUUUACACAAUGAUCAUUUCAGGGACGAUGUAGUUGAAUGACAGGGAAUGGAGCGAUCAUAUCAACUGUGUUGUAUUGUGUAGUUGGCACUUGGCAAUGGGAGUUGUUGUGCCAUUCCAUUCUCUCAGUCCUAUCGCCAUUUAUUUUGCAAAAGGAGUUAAAAGACAACGGACCAUGAAAUUAAUUUCUAAUUUAUAGUUGGUUGGGAAAUAUAGUGAUGACUAUUUAUCCAUAAACUCAACUUCCAACAGAAAUUUUGUGGGUAACAAAUGUCUUCUGAGAGGCUCAUUAAUGUAAUUGGUAUAAAUGGAGGUAGCGUUUCUGAUAAUAACGAUAAUAUUCGAUUGACUUCUGAGGAAUUAAUAUGAGACUGUACCUAAUUAAUCAAGGAAGGUAAUCAAGGAAGUUCAAGCCUUCAAGCAUUGUUUACUUUUGAUAACUAAUUAGUUAUGUGGUCUUUCUCUACUAUCACUAAAUAGAUGACAUGAAUAUGCAAAUGACAUUACAAAAUCAAACCAAGAAUAUAUAUAUAUAUAUAUAUAUUAGUAUGCAUCCUCACUUUAAUAAAGUGAGGGUACCUAAGAGAAGAGUUCUAUAUAUAAUCAUUUUCUAGUGAGGACAACUUCAUUUUAUUAAAGUAAGGGUAUCACUAAAAUAUAAGAAAAUACAUAUUUCAGUACAUUGAAAACUGUAUUUUUUUUUAACUGUUUGUAUAUUGAAAUUUGUGUGUUUUUUUUACUAGCAUAUUCACUUUAACAAAGAGAAGAUUAACUUACUAGAGAAUGACAUAUAUAUAUAUGUAUAUAUGUAUAUAUAUGUAUAUAUGUAUAUAUAUGUAUAUAUGUAUAUAUAUGUAUAUAUGUAUAUAUAUGUAUAUAUGUAUAUAUAUGUAUAUAUGUAUAUAUAUGUAUAUAUGUAUAUAUAUGUAUAUAUGUAUAUAUAUGUAUAUAUGUAUAUAUAUGUAUAUAUGUAUAUAUAUGUAUAUAUGUAUAUAUAUGUAUAUAUGUAUAUAUAUGUAUAUAUGUAUAUAUAUGUAUAUAUGUAUAUAUAUGUAUAUAUGUAUAUAUAUGUAUAUAUGUAUAUAUAUGUAUAUAUGUAUAUAUAUGUAUAUAUGUAUAUAUAUGUAUAUAUGUAUAUAUAUGUAUAUAUGUAUAUAUAUGUAUAUAUGUAUAUAUAUGUAUAUAUGUAUAUAUAUGUAUAUAUGUAUAUAUAUGUAUAUAUAUGUAUAUAUAUAUGUAUAUAUGUAUAUAUAUAUAUGUAUGUAUGUAUGUAUGCAUGUAUUUAUUUAUUAGAAGAUACUCAUGAGCAAAUGUUUGUCCAAAUAAACAAUUAGACUCCUAUCAUUUGAGAAAUAAUAAGUUAGUCACUACACCUUUAGAAAUAAAUAUGUAGAUCAUCUUAAUAUCUAUGAAUCACGUCUAUUUCAAUAGAGAAAUUAAGGCUUUAUAGUAGGUUAAUCUUGGUGAACAUUAUAGUACUUUAAUGUUCUUUUUUUUUUCUAAUUAGUAUAUUGAUACUCUUAUCUUUAUCUACAAAAGGACAAAAUUCACUAGUUUAAUUAGAUACCCAUACUCUUAUCUUUGGGUGUUUGAAAAUUGAAAUAAAAAUAUCUUUUUUUUCCUCUCUUCCAAAAGAGAUAACUUAGAGUAUUACCAAAAGACGUCUAAUUUUAUUUUCAAAUACUUACAAAUGUGGCAAAUGGAAGAGUAAAUAAAAAGAAAAAAUGAUAAUUAUCCAUAUUCUUUAGAAAAAUUGAACGAAACUCCUCUCAUGUUUUAAAAUAGGUCUAAUUAAACUUCCCUGCAAUUAAAAAGGUGCUAACUUUUUAUAUCAUUGUAUUAUCCUACCUUGGUCUUGAAGUUAGCCAUAUAAUUUAAAUAUUUUAAAAAUGUAAAUCAAGCAAAAUGAUAUAUACCCUUAAUGAUUAAAUUAAUUUAAUAAUAAAUUAUAAAUUAUGGAGAAAAAUUAGCUGACAUAAUGUCGGAUACGAAGUUAAUAGUCAAUGCAACAAUGAAGUUACUACCCACUUCAACAAGAAAGCCAUAAUUUUUUGGAACCAUUUAAUUAUCUUUUUGAAAUAUUCUAACAUAUAUAUUGCAAUGGACACAUACAGCCAAACGUUAUUUGAUUUUUAUAUAUGAAAAUAUUUUAUUUACCUUCCCUUUACGUAGUAUUAUAAUUUAUGAGGGAACUCCAGUGGUCACAUAUGGCCAAUUGUAAUUUUAAUUUAAAUGAAUACUUUGUACAAUUAUUAUGGGUGCUUAUGACAUUUUCCCUAACUACUUAAUCAUAGUCAGUAAAUUUAACUACUGUACAAAUUUAACUACUCAAUCUUUUCUCACCAAAUUUAACUUCUCUAUAACGUUCAAUAGUAUACUUAUAUACUUGUUUCUUUUCAAUAAUAAUAAUAAUAUAAAAUAUAAUAUAAUAUAAUUUGAAGAAGGAGAGAGUUGAGCAUAAUCUUAUUUAAUUUUUUUUUGAAAUUAUUAUUACUGAUAUGAUUCUUUAAAUGUGAAGUAAUAUCUUAUUUAAAUAGAUUUUUUAAAUGUUGUUGUAUUCAUCCUUAGUCAAAAAUGAAACUUCUUGGGAAUGAUCUCAUUAAUGUGCAACAUGAUUAAUCCCAAAAAUAGACUACUUGACAUGGGGAUUGAAAACGAUGUAUAUGGCGAGCAACACUUGCGAUUUUAUCUGGAUUUUGGGUGACGGACUCCUAUACACGAUUUGGACUACUGUAUUAUUUAAUUAGAAUAAUUUAUUAAUUAAGUCCACUGACACUAAUUAAUAAUGAUUCAACUUGCAUGCAAGACCAACUGUAUAUUGUUUCAUAAUCGAACCAGUAGAGGUCAUGGUGACAGUACAACCAAAACAUUUUAAUUUUGCAUUGGAAAUCCACUGGAAGAAAUUGGUGUUGCCGGCAAAGUUUAUGUACAUAGCGUAGAGAGAGAAAUUACUUUAUCAGAAGAGUAAUAUCCGAAUACUUAACUUUUAAUUUGAGUCAUAAUUAAUUCGAUAUUAUUUAUUGAAUAAUAAUUAAAUAAUUUUAUUAAUUAUAAAUUUCAUUAUUCAAUUAAUUGAUAACAUAUGAUAUUUUGACUAAAAUUAAGAUUUAAACAUCGGAAUGUCUAAAAUUAUCAUUAUCCAAAUUGAGCAAAUUCAUCAUUGACAAGUAAAUGACCAAAAUUAAUAUGCAAUGACCACAGUAUUUCCAAACUUAUUUGUUAUGAUGUUAAUAGUUUUGCAUUAAAAAUUUGUUUUAUUAUAUUAUAAGGAUCAAAUCUCACUUGCAUUUUCAAUUGAAGAUUGAUUUAAUUGUUAAUUGGACAAUAUAAUAACGCAGUGAGGUUUAUAAAAUGCAUGUCACAUGAAUCAGCAGAGAUCAUUUUUUCUUUUUGAAUUUUACUUUCAUGAUUUUGAAAGAUUCGAACCUCCACCUCAUUAAUAAAAGGAAAGGGUGCCAACCUAAUUCAAUCGAAGAGUUGUUGGCUAAAUAUUGAAGUUUUAAACUGACGAAUCAUAUGCACUCAUCAUAUUGACUCUCUCACGUAUUGCCGCAAUUGCAUAAAUUUAUCCAAUAGCAUAAGACAUCAAUAAUGACAAGUAUUAACAUAAAUUCCAAAUGAGGCGAUUCAUCAAUUAUUUAAUGGAAUCAAUGGAGCAAUUUUACAAAUUAUGAUAUUAACUAUUUUUUUUUAUAUUAGAAUUAAAAAUUUCCGUUGAGUUUUAAGGAUAAACACAGUGAUAAAAGGAAUUAAAGACGUAAAGACUCCAUAUUCUUUUUUUCAAGUUCAAGUUUCAGACUUAUGAGUAAUUAAUUCAGUAGAAGCAAUAAUUUCUGUUGAGUUUAAAGGAUAAACAAAGUGAUUCAAGGAAUUAAAGAUUUAAGACUCCAUGUUCUUUUCAAAGUUCCAAGUUUCAGACCCAUGAAUAAUUAAUUCAGUAGAGGCAAUAAGGAAACUUGGAAUUUAGUCUCAUUACCAGCACAAGCAAAAAUUUCAAGUCAGAAAAUUGCAUGAUCCCAUCCGAAUCUGCAUAAACAUAAAGGCGUUAAAAGCAUCAAGGUGCUCAAGAAGAGUAAUAGAUUGACAAAACUACAAUCGUUUAUCAGAUGAUGAGAAAAGCAAUCCAAAACUUAGCCCAAAUUUGUUACACUUAUCUGACUUAGCUUCUGGUAAUAAAUAUGCGGUUAGAGACUCCGAUAGAGGCACAUAUAGUUUCCUUAAUUUGUCAACUUAUAAUCUCCUAUGUCAAAUCUUAUUUCCUCCUCUGACUGAAACUCGCUUGCUCAUGUAGCUUACAGCAGAACCAUAUUGAAAAUGAAUACAAACGGGAUCAAAGAGCUUUAAUCUCUUGGGUACCAAGGUUGCAGCACCAUACUAUUCCACGACUGUCUUUCGCGAUAAGGUCCUCACUUUUCUAAAAUGCUUAUGGCCUUUGAAAACUGUCACAGGGUCUAAUCGUUAAUAUCUUUGUCCAAAUUCUAUUGGCAUCAAAUUCAUCCAGGACCCACAACUCCCAGGAUCUUCUUUCGGUGUUAUGCAAAAUGAAGGAAAGAGAAUCAUUAAACACCAUAAGCCUCGAAGUUGAUUGAACAAUCUUAGAGGAGAGAAUUGGCACCGGCAACUAUCGAAAGACCUCAUCACACAUGUCAAACGAAAGGAUGAAAUCCUCAGACUCAUUGGGAACAUAAGAUACCAUCCAAUAACAAGCUCCCCUGAAGUAUAAACGUUCGAAAUGCUUAUGAAACUUAGCCCCGCAUCCUAAAAAGUCAAUAUCGUUAACUACUACUUUCUAGUUUCUAGCUAUCUGUAUUCAAGGUGUGCACCUCGGCCUUGAUAGGAGGACAAGCAGGGUCAGCAUAAUCUGGGAUGAACAGUACGCAGACGACUUUGUAAUCAUUGGAUUUGGUAGCAUAACCACAGCCAAUACAAAUACGCAACCAUUAAAAAGGACAGUGUAGGGGUACAGUGAGUUCUCUGAAUUCCCUCAUAGCUGCGAAAGCUAAAAUGACUUCACCAGAAGGCAACGCGAGACAUGUAAUGCCGUGGCAAUGACCCACAAUUACUAGUUGAGGAAAUCUGGUGAUCUUAUAAAAAGUAAGAUCAAUGAUCUUUUCAACAACGGGAACAUGAUCUUGACCGUGUGAGAUUUCUUCUUUUGUUAUCAAAAGAAAGGAAGUACAGGACAACUUUAUCCACUCUAGGAACAGUAAAGCCGGGGCCGCAAGAGAAGAACACAAGCUGCUGAAACGUAUCUGGUUGCGGAGUUGCUUAAAUAUGAAACUUGAAUUUGCAAUGAGAGAAUACCAUGACCUUUGUAGACAUUCGGAAUGCAACAGUGAGACUACAGGUUGCAAGGCACGAAUCUCCGCCAGCAAAUCUUCAGGUAGAUUAUUGCUAAACCUUUUGAUUGACUUCUUCUUCUUCACUGUAAAAAUACAAGCCAUUUAUUGAAAAAUUCAGUAAUAAAUAAAGUACAGAUUUAAGAUUUGGUUUCUCACAUUGAUAAUUGUCUUGAAUUCAAGGUAAGAAGAUGGAAUAUGAUUUUCUCCAAAUUAGAUGAAACUGAUUUGACUGUAGUCUAUAGAUAUUGUAUAUGUAUGCUAUUUUAAUUUGUUUUAGAGUACUGCGCAUGUGUAUGAUAUCGAUAAUGCAAUUGGGAGUUCGUUUGUAUUAUCAUGUUUUGUUGUGGGUACUUGAAAUUGGAUGAACACACUUGGCCUAAUUUUAUUAAGUAUUAGGACUGGGAGAAAUAAAUGAAUACAGGGGACUUGAUUUGUUGAUUACAAAUUAUAUGUAUAUUGAUCGGAGGUGGAGGUUUCCCCUGAUCGAAGUAAACCCAAAAGUUUUAUAGUUUCGUUACUCCGAAGUAAAAGUUCUAGGAUGUCACAGUUAUUUCAUAUACAUAUACGACAUGUCAUUUGUAUCUGAAGUUGUAAAGCACGUCAUGCAUGAAACAUAUAUGUUGAUGCGAGAUUCUGGUUCUUCUCGUUCUACGACCAGGGUCUCUGCUCGAUCAACUUCACCACGACCAGGAUCUCUCCUCGUAAAGCUUCUUCUCCAGAGGUUCCCGCGCACACAGACAGGUCAGAGUACGCCGGUUGUUUUCCCGGCGCAAACCCUCCGACGCUCAAGUCAGAUAUGAAGGUUCGGGGAACGCUUGCCACAAAUCUUAUGGCUGUUAGGUUGUCUUCUCUCUUUUAGAAUCAAAAUUGCUAACCCUUUUACUUUCGUUGAUGCCACAAAUCUUAUGGUUGUUAGGUUGUUUUCUCUCUUUUAGAAUCAAAAUUGCUAACCAUUUUACCUUCGUUGGCUACCUUUUCAUAGGCUUCCUCUGAAUCCCAGUUUUCCGCAGUCUACGUCUGUUAUCCUCCCACCUCUCGAAUGUGGAUUCCCCAUUUCUGUAGUCAUGGGUGGUUGCGUGGCCUUCGUGCCUAGAUUCUCGGGCUGGAGAGCAUGCCUCGCCAACUGUCGUUGACCGGGUCUCCUCGAAUCAACCCUUAGCAGGAAUACAGCAGGAAUGGCUUUAUGCUUCUUACAGGAGAUUGGACUCGCGGCUGACGUGCUCGUGGAUGAGCAGGGUAUUUCUGCUCCUGCUCCCCAGGAUACCAGGCUCUUACGGGACACACCGGUUCGCAGAACUCUGUCAUCAGAUAUCUGCUCAUCAUGCCUGGUCUCGUCGACGUAUUUCUCCCAAACAAUAUACAGUGCAGAUCACCAAUUAAAAAGAUUUUAAGAAAGAUUAUUUGAAGAAAGAUUAUCUACCUAAGAUGCGUGUUUGUUUUUUUAUAUAAUUAAUGGCUUAAAGUAAUUUAAUUAAUUAAGUCAAUUAGAAGACGGUCUUUGAUGUUCUUGGAGCACUGCAUCUUCUUUGUUUAGUGUUUGUCACAUGGGCAUAUUAUCAUAAUUGGUUUGAUCAUACACGUGGUAAAACACUGAAUGAAAAAGGAGUACUUUAGAAGCACCUAAGACUUUUCCAUCAAUUAGAGCUGUUUGUUUUUAUAAUUUAUGAGAAUAAAAUAAGAUAAUUUUUUUUAGUUUUUUAUUGAAUGUAAAAAUAUGAAUAAGCCAACUAGAUUCUAAUAUAAAAAAAUAUCCCUAAUUUAUUAUUUGUUUUCCAUGUCUGUCCUAAAAAUCACACAUGUCUACUCAACUAAUAUAAACUCAUAUUGUGCUUCUUCUUUUUUUCCCUGCCGACAUCCCUCCUCAUUUUGCUAAGUAGUUCAUUGAACAAGUUCUUAAAUUCCCAUGCAUUAUUAUCAUACUUAUUAAUCUUAAUUAAGCCUUUUAUGUGAUUUUAUAAUAUGUACUUAUAACUUGUUAUUUUUUUUAACUGGAUUGGGUUUUAAUUCAUGCUUAAGGUGUGAUUUUGUGUUUAGGCUUUUAAGGUUAGGAGAUGCUCUGUUAUUGUCCAAUUUAUAUUACUUCUGCUUACCGGUUUUAACAUUUAAAUUUAUUAAGGGUAUAAAUGUAAAAUUAUAGGGUUUAAGUUUUUAAAAUUUUUAAAAACAAUUUAAAACAAGAACUUAUUCUAAGAGAUUAAAAAAUAUAUAUAUAUGUCAUUUAGUUUUUUUUUUAAGUAGACUUAAGAAAAAACUAAAAACACCCAAAAAAAAUAGAAAAAAGAAGAAGAACAAAAGAAGUGUAAUUAAACACUAAUUAAGCUAUUCUGACCCCAAAAAAAGAAAAAAAAUACUAAUUAGGUUUUUUUUUUUUACUAAUGACUUGCAAGCGUACUGAUGUGAGAAUUCAGUGAGUCUUAGGAAGGCCGCAUCCGUUCACAGGUACAAGACCAUGGCUUCAAUGAGGUGUAAUUUUAAGCUUGAACAAUAGCAUCCUCCAUUGUUUUAGCCAUGCGCUGGAGACCCAAAUCAUAUUUUUGAAGCAAAUCAGCCAAUACCAACCCUUCCACAGGAUCAACGGUAAACGACCACUCAAUCACACACCCAGCACUUUGAUUUUGGCCAUCAUGAUUAUUAUCAUCUCCUGGAAUAAUCUUGAUCGUCGAAACAUAAGACUUGAACCCAAUAUUACCAUCAACCAUCUCAUAAAUCAAACAACGUUGGACAUGAUCAACGGUUACUAAUCUCUCUUUGGACCAGCUACAUGCAGCAGGAGGAGGAUUAUCAUCAGUACUGCUACUGGCUGCCCUGGACGGGAUCGAAAAGCCGGCACAGUAUCGGAUGCAGUCGGGCUCACCGUUGGUUCCGUGGACACCGUAGCUCGUGGCCAGGCUAUGAAAAUAUUUGUGUAUGUUAAAGAAGUCGGUAAAAAGAGGCCAUAUUUGGUCAGCAGUGGCUCUACUUACCCUUGUCGAAACCUUGCCUUCCCACUUUUGCUGCAAAUUUUGCUCCAUUCUGUAUGAAAUUAACGUAAAAUUAAAAAAAAAAAAUCAAUAUGAGGCAGAAAGAAAGAAAUGGAGGGUCACGUGGCAGGCUCAAUCUCAAAGGCCAAAGCUAAAAAGACAGAGGGAAAAAAAGGGUAUCCUCGCAUUAGAGGUGGUAAAAAUACCUGCUCGGUCCGGACUCGGACCGUACCCGGGCAUUGCGGAUCGGGUAAUACCCGGUUCGGGUAUGAAGCCGGGUUGAUCUUGGGCAUCACUUAAUAAACCCAGAAAUAUAUACACAUAAAUAUUAAAAAAUAUAAAAUCCGGGUAUCCAAAUUAAAACCCGACCCGAAUCCAGACCCAAACCGAUUGCAUCCGGGCAGGGUUCGGUCAUGGCAAUACCCGGACCCGGCCCGGGGUUUUGCCAUCUCCACCUCGCAUCGCAAGAAUCUGUCCACAAAAGUUACCAUGUGACAAUAAUAUUUAAUGUUCUAUUUUUGGAAGCAUUAUUAUCAAGUGUCUUAGACAGCUAGCUCCACAUACGAUUUGAUCGAGUCAUCAGCCGACAAGUCCUGCGCGCACCUGAUUACUUUUUAUAUAUAAAAAAUGCACGAUUAUAGCUGUUAAUGAUUAUUUCAUGUUAGUUAACUAGUGAAUUAUAUUUUAAUGGGCAGGAUUUGCUAUUUUAAAAAGGGUGAGGCUAUUCUAAAAUCUACCUGGCACUCAUCUAUUUUGCACACUCAAUUAAUAAUGAGUAAUAACAAAUAUUCUAAUUUUGUUAGAAUAGGACUAUUAGCACCAUGUAACUUUCUUUUCAAACAUCUUUUUUUAUCAAAAUCUACUUUAAUCCUCAAAAUAUCCUUUCCAUUUUUUACUUUUUAAUUCAAAAAGAAAAACAAUUCAAUUUCUUCCAAAUAAUUCUAAUUACAAAUAUUAUUUAUAUAUAUUUUUGAAUUAUUAAGUCAAACAUAUUUUACUAAAAAAAAUCAAAUACAUGUAUGAAUUAAGUAGAAUUAAAGUGGACUCAAAUAGCUAUUAUUUAUGUUUUUUAAAUUAAAAAUAAGUUUUGUAAAUUUCUCAAGAAAAAGUUGUUUGUGAGGAAACAAAAAUUGUAAGAGACUUUAGUGUAGUUGUAUGGGUGUAAAGUGUUGAAAAGAGAAAUAUAAUGGUAUAACUAAAUUUAUUUUGUCCUUUAAUGUAAUUGCAAUAAGAGAGGGGUUUUAUAAGGAUUAUAGAGAUGGGUGCCAAUAGUUCAACUCAAUUUUUUAUCCAAAAUUCCAUCUCAAAUGUUAUGUCAUUGAUUGAUUGAUUGAUAAUUCUUUACAAGAUCCAAGCGAAUUAUCCUCACUAAUUAAUUGAUGAAUACCACAUUAUUUGAGAUAAUUUUUUGAAAUAAAUAAUUUAGGAUGCGUAGCACUUCUCAGUAAUUAUUUCAAAAUAUUAGUUUUUAAUUAUAACACUCUUUCAAAUUCCUAUAUUGUCCUCAUUACACAUUAUUUAAUUACCUUAUUUUCUCGAUACACCCAAUAAAGUAUUCAUCAUUACAAAUAAAACAUAACUUUCUUAAAUUUUUAUUAACCUUUACUUUCGACUUGAAAAUGGAUUCAUUUUUUUCUUUUUUUUUUAAUGGGAAAAGGUAAAGGCCAUUGUAGCAUUCAAAUAGUCAUCUUUAACUUAAAACAAGUUUUUGAAUUAAAAAGGAAAAAAAAAAAAAAACAACUUAGGCUACAACAGAAUCUUCCAAUUUAAUGACCCAAGUUCAGGUGAACAAGACAAGCAAAGUAAUGCACCACUUCUUCUUCUCUGCACCUCCACUUGCCUUCAUCUGGCGGAGGCAUUAGACAUCUCCUCACACUUCGUCUUUGUCCCCUCGUGAGUGCUAAGCUUUCUCUUUGCAGCCUUCAGUGCCCUCUUGUCCUCGUCGACUUUAAGAAGCUCCGUGAUUGUUUUCUCAUAGGGUGUAAAGCCAGCAAAUUCCCUAAUCACAUUUCUCUCAAAGUGGACCCUUUUGCUUGUUUUCCCUUUGCGAUUUGCUGGGCGUGGUAGCAGUUCCUUCUUGGUCACAACAUGACCCUUGUUUAAUCCAACAAAUAGAUCAGUAUUUGGCAGUUUAGGGGCUAUCGCCUCCAAUGAAACUGAGAUGCUGUGGAGGUCUUGAUUCAAUUUUUCGUUAUUAAUGUGAUUUAUAGUAGAUAAAAUAUGACUAUUUAUUGGAUAAAAUUUAUUAAAUUGUUCUAAAUAACAAAUUACAUUAAGGUUAAUUUAGUAAUACAAAAUAUUAUUAAAUUGUGAAUGUCCAAAGUAAAUUUUAGAGUGUAAAUAGCCCAACUUUUUAAAUAAUUAACUUUUCAAAUUUCUUUUUAACAUUUUUUUUAUUUAAUAAAAAAUCUUUUUAGGCAUCUUCAUAUUCACAUGAUUAUUUUAAUUCAUGUACAACGAAUGACGUUUUAUGUCCGUAUAAUGAGAUAUGAGCAAAACCGUGAAGUGUAAUAUAAUGUAUAUGAAAUGAUAUUAAUUUGAAAAUUGAAAAAUUAACUUGUCGUGUGGACCUUCACAUUUAAACAUUUUCAUAAGCAUUUGCAUAUAAAUAAAAUAAAUACUUUAGAAAUUAAUCCUAACAUAUCAAGUGAGCCUAGUUGCUUAGAAUAGUUAUAGAGUUUAAAAUGUACCAAAUAUGGGAUAAGAUAAGAUUUCUUUUUUUAAUAUUAUAUAUAAUAUAAUGCCAAUCUAACAUAUUAAAGUUAAACCUAAUGAAAUAAACUCCCACCCAGUUGCCAUAAAAAUACACGAGGACGUUUUGACAAAUUAAUGUAGAAAGAAAGAAGAAAAAAUUAAAUACCAUUGAAAUUGGGUUUCCAUCUCGCGAGAAUUGAAAAUAAUGUUUUAUUUACUUGAGAAUAAGCUUUUGUAAGAUGUUUAAACUAUAUUCUGAUUUUUUUUUUCUGAUAUACUAUAUUCUGAUGUUUAAACUCUCUAAUUUGAAUGAUCAAAGAUGAGAAAUGGUAUCGCUUUGGUAGGUACAUUUGUUUUUUUCCCUUUUCCUUUAAAAAAUUAAUUGUUUUAACUGAUUAGAUGAGUGACUAAAUUAGAGAGCCGUCUAUGUUUAUUUGGUGAAAUCUUUAUUGGAUCAAUGCAUGUAAAGAGUUAUACAAAAAAAUGAUAUUUUAUGACAAAAAAUUAGUCACUAAGGAUAACAAAUUAGUCACCUUAUAUCUUUUAUGAUAAAAAAUAAAUUGUCACACGUUAGUCGUAGAAAGACCGUCUUAAAAAGUUCUAGCGACCAAAAUUAUUUUCAUCAUGUUAAAAAUAUGUUUUUGUGACAACAAUCAUUGUCUUAAAAUUAAGUUAAAAUUGUCACAAAUGAUAUUCAAAAUGGUCAAAUUAGAUAUCAAAAAAUGUAAUCGAUGACACCUCACGUUUGUCACAAUAAGUGAUUUAUAAUGACUAUAAUAUUGUCUCAAUACGUAGUUUAUUGUGUUAUAAUAUUUGUCUCAAUAUGUGAUUUAUAAUAAUUAUAAUAUUUGUCUCAAGAAUGUGAAAAUAUAGCCUCAAUAAUUACUAAAAAUCGUCAUUUUAGAGAUUUGAAGAUACAAUUAGUGACAAUAUUUUUUUGUUGUUGAAGUUUACAUAUCGCGACGUUAUAUAAUCGUCUUAAAUAGUUGUGAUUUUUAUGAACUAAUUGAAAUAGAGAGCGAUUUUCUUAUGAUUGCAAUGUGUGCACCUUGUGUCACAUGCAUCAACAAUUAUGCUGGUUUAUAAUGUAUAUUUGUUUGUGGGUGCGACCUACCAAACAUGGAAAAUGACAAUCUUUUUUUUUUUUUUUUACCGUCGUACAUAUGUUCUUCUUGAUGGUGUCUCACACACUAAGGGCUCUAUUAAAGACCCUAAAGUAGUUGAGAGAUAUAUCAGUCUGAGUAAUGGAUCUCAACCUCAACCAUCAGAGACUAUAAAGAAUAUGAAUCCGAAAGUGGUUAUGGAGGAGGCUAGCGACAAAAAGAAAGUGGAUUAGGUGGAAUAUGUGCUAAUCUUAUCUUCUUUUGUAAUUAAUCAUCUGCUCAACUCAAACAAAAGAUUUGAGUAUGGAUUUUAGAUUAGUGUUGUAGAUGUUCGUUGCAGUUUGUUGCAGUAAAUGCGAAAACAAGAUAUAAGUACUGAUAACUCUACAAAAUGAGAGUUAUCAUGACACUUUUAGACUUGAAUCAAUAAUACUUACAGAGUAAAUGAUAUGUUUUUAUUGCAUUUUAAUUAUAUUUUGCAUGCACAUCCAUUUUAGUUUAUUUUUAAUAAAUUUAGUUUGUUUUAGAUUAAUUUGUGCUUAAAUCAUAUGCAUAAUUAUAGGUGACCGAAAGCUUAAAUUUUAAGUAACAUGCAGUAGUCGUUGCUGUAGCACCAUUGUUGUAGCACUGUUGCUGUAGCAAUCCUAGAGCAUUGACAGAGAAGAUUUCACGUGAGAUACUUAGAGAAUUGCAAUAUGGAGUUUCCAAAGAUGGAAGAUACGCUCCUUAGACUUUCGGUUGUCCUAAUUCUAAGCUAUAAAAGGAGCAUACACACAAAGAGAAAGAGAGAGUCGUCACCCAAGGAAUAAACCAAAGAGAGAAACAUAAGAAAAAUAGAAAUCAAAAGGGAGAUUAAAGGCUGACAGAGAAAAAAUCGUAGAGAUCAAUUGAGAAUCAAUUUUUCUUAUUCUUUUCUUGUUUUUUAUAUAUUCAUGGGGAUGUAUUGGAUUGCUAAAACUCUUUUAUUUAUUUUUUUAUCGUAAAUCAUGAACUGAAUUUGAUUGUAACUGAGUAAUAAACGAUCUUAAUGGAUGUUUGACUAAUAUACGCGUGUUGUUCUAUGUUUACUAUAACAUUUUGUCUUAAUUGUAUUUAUUUAUUCUCUAUUUCGGAUGAUCCCCUAUUUAGGGAUAUUAGUUAAGAAAAAGCCUAAAAAAGGUCUGAUUUAGUGGAUCUUAUUAAAACAAUACUUGGUUUUAGAUUGGGUUUCCGAAGUUGAGUUAAUUUUAAUUUGAAUAGGGUCGUGCUUGAUAUAAAAUUAAUAAUGAACUAGAUAUAGAGAUUUACCUUGUAGGGUAAAUGGAACCUAGAGCGAUUAAUGAUAUCUUUAAUGUUGGCGUAACAAUUGGUUACUAUUAGGUUGCAUUUGGUAUAAGAUAUCCAACAAACGACAGUUGAGGAUGCGUGAAGGAUUCUAUCCAGUGCUGUAGUAGAUACUGUAGCAACGGUACUGUAGUUGAAAAAUAGUCAAUGCCAUUAAGUGAGUUUAUUCACUCAACUACUCGAUUCUCAUUCGUUACAUCCUUGUGUUGACAUGAAAAUUUUCUUUAUUUCAUUUUAUUUAUUGCACUUUUAUUUUAAUUAGUUAGGUUCAUAAAUUGUCUUAUUUUGAUAUAAAAUUAAUGAUGAACUAGAUAUAGAGAUUUACCUUGUAGGGUAAAUGGAACCUAGAGCGAUUAAUGAUAUCUUUAAUGUUGGCGUAACAAUUGGUCACUAUUAGGUUGCAUUAGGUAUAAGAUAUCCAACAAACGACAGUUGAGGAUGCGUGAGGGAUUCUAUCUAGUGCUGUAGUAGAUACUGUAGCAACGGUACUGUAAUUGAAAAAUAGUCAAUGCCAUUAAGUGAGUUUAUUCACUCAACUACUCAAUUCUCAUUCGUUACAUCCUUGUGUUGACAUGAAAAUUUUCUUUAUUUCAUUUUCUUUAUUGCACUUUUAUUUUAAUUAGUUAGUUUCAUAAAUUGUCUUAUUUUAGAUUAAAGUAAGACUGCAUUAUUAAGGUUACUGUACCAAAUAUGAUAACAUCAAUCACUAUGAAGACGAUCUGAAUACUUAUCAGUAUAUUACUUGUUGUGCACACUUGCAUAUUGACACCCAUAACAUUAGAGAUUGCACACACUAAGUACAUUUAAAAAUACUAAUAUGGACCUUUUUCUUGGCAGGAUUAGACUAGGUUGGACUACCUGUGUGUUUUUUUUAAGCUGUUAAUUAUUCACACCCUUGCUUUUAUUUCACCUUUCAAUUGAUCAGUUUUGGGUAUUGAUGUUCUUAUUAUUUUCUUACAUUUUUUAUUACAUGAUUGCAGGCAAGAGGAAAUUGCCAAGUUCAUAAAGGUUCAAGACAAAGAAAUAGAAAACUCUCAUGCUACAAGGGACAUGCUGAUAAAAGUGCAUGCAGAGAGGAUAUAUGCAAGAGGCGGAAGGCAUUGAGAGAAAAAGGUUGAAUAUGAGAAAGAAUUUGAUGUUGAGUUAACUCAAAACUGAUGGAGAAAUACUCCUCCCAUGGCACAAAAGUUGCCACUGACAGCGUUUGAUGUUGAGAUGCACAGAUGAUAGGAAAAUAAUAUACUAACUAGAUGAGUAGCAAAUAAUUUAAUAAUACCAUUAUGAUGAUGUUUUUUCUUGUGAUAUAUUCUUUGAAUUACAAACUUUGAGAGGUAUAUGCAUUUAAAUAUAGCAAUAAGCAAAUUUGGACUUUGUCAUUUAAUUUCAUGAAACUUUUUAAAAUUAUUCAAAAUAUAGCAAAGUCAGUUGUUGUAAGCUUUAUAUGUCAGCUCAUUUUCUUCGUAUAUCUACUUGAUAAAGAUUCUUGGAUGGUUGUUACAUUAAAUUUUGGGAAGGUAGGAAAAACUAUAGACACAAAGGUAUAUUUUGUCUUUAAAAUCUUAGACCAUUUGUAUAUUAUUGUGUUUAAGUUGGAACAUUAGGCCAUAAUUUUUUAUUAACUAGUUUAUAUUAAAUUUGCAUUUGUAUAAUCUAUCAAUGUGCAUACCCACAUUUCUAUGUAAUUUUUGAGAUUGUGUGUACUUCUUUUAUACCUUCUACUUAUGUUAUGUGGUAGACUUAUGCAUGCCAUUUCUAGGUGGGCGUGUACCACCUUGUCAUGUUUAAGAUACCACACUAUUGACACUUUCUAAUACUGAAUCCUUGCUAUUGAUUUAGACAUUCAGUAAUAGAGUUUGGUAGCAUGAGCGUUAGCUAUAAUCUGCAUAACUAUAUGGCACUUAGUCAAAUUUACAUAAUGGUACAUCAUGCAUCUUCUCAUGUUCAAACCUUUCAUGUUUGGUAUUAUGCCAAUACUGUAUCUUGGACUGUUGCUAUUUGCGCAAAUGAUGAAGCUAGUAAUAAUUAAAGGCAACAAGCCGCUAAUGACUUUCUCUUUUGUCCAAAUAGGCAGAAGUGGAAAGAUAUCUGUAUUAAGGUUCUAGGAGUCAUAAGCAGAGAAUAAGACUUAGGAAUAUGAUGAUAUUGCUGUGAAUUAUUUGUCUGGUGUUCUUUUCUUUCUAAUAUUUUCACUUUUGUCAUUUGUUGAUAUAGAUAACAUGAUAGUAAAAAAUAAAUUUAUGACAUAACUAGAAAAUGUCGAAACUACAAGGUACAAAGUAUACAAUUUAAUAUUCUAAUCAUCUUAUUGAUUAUUUAUGUGAUGCAGAUUAACAAUCAAACAUCAUUCACCUUUAUUUUAUUAUUAUCACUGCUCAGUUGUUUCUGGAUUGGAAGAUGAUGCUUUAAGCAUGUCCAGCGCCACUUUUAUCUCGAAAGGAAAGACCAAAUUUUUCUAAUUUUUAUUCUACUGCUAUUGCCCUAUGUAUCGGCGCAGCUAGUGGUGCCUUUGUUUUAGAAAGUUUAUCUAUGCUAUUUGGUGUAAGAGGAUCCAGAGGCAUGAUAGUUGUUAUUUCAAAAUCUUACUUUGCAAAGGUAGUAUCACUCAUUUUUAAGUUAUACUUGUCGUUUAUUUCUUCAAUUUGAAGGUUAACUUCAUUAUCAGGAAGAAUGAAGUCCAGUAGCUCUUCUAAGUUGUUAAAUAAUGAUACAGUGUUAGAGACUUGAUGUGCUUGAUCUAAGGAGAAGGGAUUACCAUCAGUGCCACAAGUUGAACUUACAUCUAAGUACCCAUCAUCCUUUAGAUUUAGUAAGGAAUUCAAGACUUUUAGGGAAAAGAAUAGAUCAUCAUUAAGUGUCAUAUCAAAAAAUCACAAAUCUCGAACCAAGGAUCUAUGUUAUUAUGCAGAUUUUUGACACUAUGAAGAAAAUUGUAUAGUGUUGAUAUAGAAGCACCUGUUUGACAAAUUUUGAGUGCCAAAAUCUAAUGAAACAAUAUGCAAAUGAUACAUGUGAAUCUACCCAUGUGGAACUUUUUCCUUAAAUUUUUCUCAACACGUAAAGUGUGAACCAAAGACUAUUGAUGUGCCUCUUUACAGGAGUUCAGAAGUUUAAUUAAAUCUAAUGGUCUUUUACUUUGGCAUGAAGCAAGUUUCUGUAGUCAAGACCAUCGAAGAAGCUUACAGUUAAAGCACAAUCAUCUAUGCUUUCUCUGCCAUUAUGUUUGUGAAACAAAAACGUCUUUUAGGCAUAACUCUCUUUAAUUCUUAACCUCUGAAACCAGCAGUAUGCGAGGGCUUCUAUAUCUAGUAAUGAAUUCAACAAUUCAGAUGAUGAAAAAUGGUCUAUAUCUUAUAUCAAUUUGGCAAGAUCUGUAGUCUCAAACUUUAGGUCAACUUUCUCAACAAGAUUGUAUACAAAUGAAAAACCAGUUGGUUUUGUUUUAAAAAUAAAAUGUAUUCAAUAAGUUAAUACCAUAGAGCCACCUAUUAGGUAUCUUUCUCUUAAGUUUUACUCUACGAGUAAUGAGUGAAUCAAGACUCUUAUAUUUGUCUUGUAAGUCUUUAACAAGCUAAUGAGAUUUGCACGUUUAUACUUAUGAGUUGUUAGAAGUUUGGUGCAGUUCAAGUUGUCUUUGAAGUGAGGGGAAAAGUACAAUUGUUCUUGUAUGAUUGAUGAUAAUGCUUAUAUAUAAAGCAUGGGUUUUUGUGGACAAUGUAAACUACAGUAAACUUCUAAUAGUUCUUUGGUAUAAAUGUGCAAAUCUCAUUAUCUUACUGAUGACCUACAAUGCCAGGAAAAGAAAAGCCUCGAUUCACUUAUUCCUUAUAGAGCAGAACUUAAGAGAAAGAUACCCAAUAGUUGACUCCACAAGUAUUGACUUAUUAAAUACAUUUCAUUCUUGAAACAUAAACCAAUAAGUGGUUCUUUAUUUGUAUACAAUCUUGUUGAGAAAGUUGAUAUAAGAAAUAUUAAUUCAUUCAUUCUCUUAUAUGCAUGCAAACAAGUAAUAUUUUAUAAUUAUAAUGAGCAUUACACGUAUAAUGCUCCCAACAACUUGUUUUAUUCGGUGAUCUUCAAAGCGUUAUUUUAAAGAUAAAGAAAGUUGACAAAUAAAAAAAUUACAUAAUUAAAAAAAAAAUCCAUAUAGUGUUAGUAUGUGCGUGUGUGUUUGUAUGUGUGCGUGGGCGUGUGUGCGUGUGGGCGUGGGCGUGAGCGUGGGCAUAGACGUGUGCAUGUGUGUGUGGUGCACAUGCUUGAAUAUGUGCAUGUGUGUGCGUGCGUCCAUGUGUGCGUGUGGGCGUGGGCGUGGACGUGUGCGUGCGUGUGUGGUGUACAUGCUCGCAUGUGUGCACAUGCGUGUGUGCGUGGGCAUGGGCUUGGGUGUAGGCGUGUGUGGUGUGCAUUCUUGCAUGUGUGCACGUGCGUGCGAGUGGGCGCACUUGUGUGUGUGCAUGCGUGCGUGUGCAUGUGCUUGUGUGUGGGCGUGCCUCCACUUUGAAUAAGUGGAGGCUUAACAGCAACACAUUGCACUGAGGAUUUCAGCAACGCCAAUAAGUGGCAUCCUAAUCUUGACACGUGUCACUGAGUUGAGCGAAUUUCAGGUAGCCUAGUUUGGUCCACCAUUAUGCCUCAACAAAACUAUCAUACGAUAUCAGAUGGGCAAAAGAGAAGCUGAUUUUGAUGGAUCUAAUCCAACGAUGUGUAGACUCUUAGCUAUGAGGUCACUGAUACCAACCUUGGAAUAAAUUCGUAUGUGGCUUAACAAUCAAUGGUACUUAUCAAUAUAAUGGGUGCAUGAUCAAGUGGUCAUUGGUUGCUAACCCACUUGAAGGUUGUAGGCUUGAAGAUUUGGUUUUUCAUAUUGAUAAUUGUCUUCAAUUCAUAGCUAAGAAGAUGGAUGUUAGAACUUUCUUUUCUCUAGAUUGGGUAAAUUUUGACUAGUAGUAUGAUCUAUAUUGUGAGUUUAUUAGUUUAUAGUAUUUGUUUGACAUAAAGACUACAAAUUUAGAAUCUAUAAGGUGAUAUCCAAAUGACUAAUUUAUUAUCAUAAAAAGAAAAUGUUAAAAGAGAAAAACUAAUAAAAUGCCGAUAAAGUACAAUGAUAAAUUAGUAUCCAUUUAUUAUAUUUGUAAGUUCAAUGAUAAAUUAGUAUCAAUUUAUUAUAUUUGUAACUAAGUGACUAAAUUAAUACUAAUUUAUCGUUAUUAACUUUCAUUAAUAUUUGUUCUAAUUUUUUUUUGUCACUUAAAUUUAGGUGGGAAAUAUUAUUUAAAUUAGGGGUGUAAAUUGGUGUAAUUAUAUCAUAUAUGUACCUUGUCAAAUAUAAGAAAAUACAGUUACGAUUUGUUUAUCAAUACAAAUACGAUUAAUUUAUUAAUCGUAUUGAUUCAUUUAACAUUUUUAAUAUAAAAAAAUUAAAAAUUAAUUUAAAAAUAACAAAUAUGUCAAUUUAUUCUUGACAGUAGGUUAUAGAUAAGUUAACAUGACAUAAAUAAGUUUAUAACAUAAUAUGAAUAUAUUAUAUGAAAAUUUAGUGUUUAGUAUAUAUAUUAGUUAAUUUUUUUUAAUAAUAUUACCAUGUAUGGAUUGAUAUUCGUAUCAUAAAUAAGUAACCGUAUUGAGGUGGUAUAAUUCAAAUACAACACGAUUAUUUGUCAUGUUAUGUCAACUUAUUUAUUAAUCGUUUUAAAUUUGUCAACACAAAUUCGGAAAAAUUGUAUCAUAACCUAUUUUACCACCUCUAAUCCAAAUAAACCAAGAGACCAUGUUUAAUUAGUUCAUUUAAUAUUAAUUUUAUAUACAAAGAGAAAAGGUACCUCCCUAUUUUAUCAUUCUAGUAUUUUUUUUUCUUCUCUUUAUUUUUUUUUUAUUUUAAAAAAUAUCUGUUAAGACGUGGUUUUAUCCAACGAGUUUACCAACCAAAUAAUUAGAGUCCGUCCAUUACAUAAUUUAACUCUUAUCAAACUUUAUAAUUAUAGGUAAAUUAAUACUCGUUGUUUUUACAAUAAAAUCUCAAUAUAGUGAUAUUCUAUACACGAAUUUUACACAGUCAUAAAAAAUUAUGCUCCUGAUUUGAGCUAGUUAAAAAUAAGAACAAACUCUAUAUUAUAAUAAGUUAUAAUUUUUUUAGAUCUUAUCUUAAAUAACUUACCUCUAUAUAGUAAUAAUUAUCUGUAUAAUUACAAAAUAAUAUAUAUUACCUCAUAUUAAAAAUUUAAGAUGAAAAAAAAUAUAUUUAAAAAAAAUAUUUGGAACAAUGAUUUAUUUUUUAGAUUUGUGCCACAUAUUUUAACUUGUAGGUAUGUAGGUUGCGUUUACUUUCUGGAGUGAGAGUGAAGAUUGUAAAUUCCUCUCACUCUAAUGUUUAUUUCACUAAUUUAGAAAACGAUUGAGAAUACCACUCCGUGGGCUCCAUUACUUUUGGAGUGGAGAGUGGUAGUUAGAGUGGAACUCCAAGAGCGGAGUAUGGAGUCAGUUUUCCAUAUAUUUAGUCUAACGCAAAACCUAGUAUACCUGGCAAGGUGUUUGCCAAAAUUUAUGCAUCAAAUGAAAAGGACCCCGCCCACGUGCUGUGUAUGGCUGUUUCUUUGGACCACAGCCACAUAAACAUACACACAUAAUAGCAGCCGUUAAAAGUGGUGGUUGUGGCUUUCCACAAAGUAACAAGAUUCUUUCCCACCUUGCAUUUAGUCUUCCAAUAAUACAAUAUCUUAUUAAUCCACACCAAAUCACCAAUACAAAGCAUCUUGAUUCAACCAUCCCAUAAUGCCAAAGCUCCAGAGCUAUUAGAUAUCUUGAUUAGAUAGUGAAGUGAUCCAGCAAUUAGCAAAGCCAACUCCACUUCCCUCUCAAGAGUCGAGUAGUCAUGGCAGAAGAACAACUAUCCAAAUGGAAAGGCAAGGAGAGUAUUGAGAGUGCAAGCAUAACGGCAGAACAGGUUUGGGCUUGCCUUGAGGAUUUUUGCAACGCACAUAAGUGGCUGCCCAAUCUUGAUACAUGUUACCUGGUUGAAGGAGUUCCCGGGCAGCCUGGUCUGGUUCGCUACUGCGCUAGCUCUAAAUCUGAUGGUCAUGAGGUGACAAUCAGAUGGGUGAAAGAGAAGCUGAUUCUCAUGGAUCCAAUACAACGGUGGCUUAGCUACGAGGUCACUGAUAAUAAUUUGGGAAUUAAGUCGUAUGUGGCGACCAUCAAAGUAUUUCCCAUCAAUUUUGACAAUGGAAUGAAAGGGUGCAGGAUCGAGUGGUCAUACGUUGCCGACCCAUUUGAAGGGUGGAAAUUUGAAGAUUUUGCCUCUCAUAUCGAUUAUUCGCUAAAAUUCAUGACUAAGAAGAUGGAACAUGCUUCUCUCCUGAUGGGACAAAAUUUGAGUACGAGUGCUACCUAGUUUUAUAUUUUUGCCAUUUGUUAUUGUGCUUUAUACAUAUGUACUGCUAGUUUUAUUUUAUAAUUUAUUUGACACUAUGAGCUCGUGUGCUAUUCCAUAUGGCUUCUCGCGUAUUGAAUCAUCAAUGAGUGCUCUUCUCUUGGGUUCCACCUGGAUUAAAACUAGAGCAUGUCGAUGCAGAGCCCUGAACAAUGAGUAUGCAACGUUGUAAUCUACCAUCAUUAUUUGAUUGCAAGUUAUUUCAGUUACUUCGUUAUCUGCAGUACAUUUCUUUUACACAUUACGAGUCCCCUAGUCCCUGAACUUUAGGAACGGUCGGUUCAGAAGGUUCUUAUCAAAUUUCAAAUUGUAGAUUAUCUUUGGCCUGCGAAAUAUGAUUAUUUUGUAUUACCUCCUCAAAAAGAAAUUAUGGGAAAAUUAAUUAUAAUGACAAAAUACGUGCAUAAAUUACAGUGAAGAUUAAUAACUAUAGAAGGGAGGGGGUGCUCUAUUCUGUUUCACAGUUUACAAAACAUUUCGUUUCGUACGGACACCCAUCAUCACCUACACGAGCAGCAAGAUAAAAGAAUGCAUUCGUUAAAAGGAUGCUCUGUUUUCUUUUUCUUUUUCUUUUUCUUUUUCUUUUUCCUGCUGAGAGGCACAAACCAUAGUUAAUAAACAAUUACAGGCAAAACAAACAUUUCAUCUGUGCGAUUCCACAACACUAAUGUGUGGAUUAAUAAGUGCUUCCCAAGGCUGAAAACCCUAAACUUGAAAAUAAAACACCUCUUUCCUAUGAGAUGAAUGGAUCACCUUUUCUUCAUUUUUCAAUACUGCAACCUAAUUUCUUCUCUAACCAGACUAUUAUAUCCUGUGCAACCUCAUCUCGCUCCAGCUCAAAGAGGAGGUCAUGCAACAAUCCCUCAUACAGCUUAAUGUCUUUAAACCUGGAAGCUGCCUCAUUGUACAAAUCCUGAGAGGCUAAAGGGUCGGUAACUUUGUCUCCUGUUCCAUGAAGAACAAAGAAUGGGACAGAAACAGACUUAAAGUUGCGCUUCAAGUAUGAGGAAAGGCGCAGUAUCUCAUGGCCUGUUCGGACCCUUAUGGGUCCUGUGUAGACCAAAGGAUCAGAAUACUUUGCCAAUAGCGCUGCUGGAUCCCUAGAAACUGGAACGCCCCUUUUGUUAGCACCUUUAAACUGGUACUUGGGAACUACCAGAGAAAAAAGAGGGGCCACGGCCUGCAUAAAAGUAUCAACGAAAGAACUUUUAAUUAGUGAAAACAGAAAUAAAUAUUUUAAACAAUUCAACUCAAUCAGCUAAACUACUUAUCAUUCCGUAAAUCUAUCGAGUCAAGAACAAGGGAAGAAAAAUAACUACUUACCCCCACAAUAGGAUGUGCUGGCUCAACACGCAAAGCUGGUGCCGAUAGCACAAUUCCCUCCAGCAUUGCUUCAAUGUGGGGAUAUGAAGCUGCCUGCACAAAGGUGCGCUGUAUUAACCCAUAAUUUUUUAAAAAUCAACCAAGAUGGGACCAUAUGAAAUCGGCAUAUGACUCACCUUCAGAACUACAGCCCCACCAGUAGAGUGACCAAAAAGGAAGCAUGGUACAGUUGGAUUUUCCAAUUUAAUUUUUUCCAAGAAAGCCCCCUGUUAAAUCAGAACAUAAGGGAGGUUACAUCUCACUUAAAAUAUAUAUAUAUGUGUGUGUGUGUGUGUGAAGUUAUAAUGUCAUAUCAUAAUGGAUUCUAAGAAUCAAGCCAGAUACAUCAAAAUAGAUACAGUUUGCAAAAUGUGGCUGACACAAUUCAAUUUAAAGAUGCAAUUAUGACAGCGGAUGACCCAAACAAUAUUGGUAAAAGUAGAUUAUUGGUUAUAGAAAUUGAAUGCUUUGCUUUGGAACAAAAGGAGGAUCAUAUAAAAAGAUAUGAUGAAAAAAUAAAAUGUACUUACCGUGUCUGCAACCACAUGGUCAAGUGAAGGAACAUAUCCAUGCAAUCCAUCGCUCCCACCAUGACCUAGAUUUUAGAAGAUAAUCCAUCACCAAAAACUCUAUAAUUUAACUUGCUAAACACUUAUUUACUAACUAUGUGGCAAAUAGAAGAGCAAAAAAAGAAGUCACCUCCAAAAGGACUCUUCAAAUCAAAAUAAGUAUAUAUUAUUUUAAUCAAACUUUUUUCUAUAUAAAAGUAAUAACAAUUAUAACACUUCUCUUGAAUAAUGAGAUAAAAAAAUAAUAUAAUAAAUUCAAGGCUCCAAAAUACUCUCCAAAUAAGAUUCUUCAAUGAGACAGUGCUUCUCUCUCUUCAAGACUCUCAUUUGGAGAGUUUUUUGGAAUUAGACUCUCAUUUGGAGAGUUUUUUGGAAUCUCUUCAAGACUCUCAUUUGGAGAGUUUUUUGGAAUUUUUUUUUUUUUUGGUUGAUGUGGCUCUUCAAAUAAGUAGCUUAUACAAUUGAUAAGCAACAAGUUAUAAAUGUACCUAUCCAGUCCAUAGCAUAGACCCCAAAGUUACACGAAGUUAGUUGCCUAGCAAAUUGAGCAUACCUCCCACUGAAAUUAAACAAACACCGAUAACAGAAAGGCAAGAUCAGUAUUCACACCUUUUGUAAUAAAAUCAGAAGUGUAAGAAUAAAACAGAACAAUGCUUCCCCAAAUACAGGACAUUCAAAAUUACCUGUGCUCAUUCAGCCCAUGUAUUAUGAUCAAAAUGCCCCUGAAAGAAUAAAGCACUUGAAAUUAGAACAAGCAGAUAUAGAACAGAAUAAAGGCACCAACAAGCAAGGAAUGUACAAAAUGUACAUGUAUGCAAAUGCUCUGUGGAAUCAGAGCCCCAUGUGGCACGAAAGCCCCUUAAAUCCUUUUGUAUAAUGUAAUCCCCUGGAGUGCCAGAGUUUUGUUAGAAAAGGAAACGACUAAUUGCGCCGAUAAUAAGCUAACAGCAAGCAUAAUACAAUGUAACGAGAUUUUAGUUGCAAUUUAAAAUUCCAUUUACUCUGUUUCUCAUCAAUCACAUGACAAUCACCAAUCAAAAUUACGAAAUAGUCCGUAAAAAUUUCAAAAUUCAAAAUUGGAAGUCAAAGUAAUCAUUCAAAGUCAAACAACUUAAAUAUAAUUAUGAUAUUUUAUUUUUCAAAAACCUUACUUCAAUUCACCGGAGACCGGAAUCCACGAGCGGCAAAACAAGGCGUUCCUUUUAACGCCAAAGAAAAGAGAAGUACUCCAGCGGCACGGGACCUCCCCGUCGUCGGUCUCGAAUCCCAUUUUCAAGUCCUCGGCCAACGCUCUUCGUCUCAUGGUAUCCUCAUCCUCUCGCCUCAACAUCGACUUCCUCUUCCAGCUUUUCACCUGAGAUUUCGGCGCACCGGCCGCCGGCCUUCGCGGCAGCAGGAGGAUGACGAGAGAAAAGAUGAACGAUUGGAUGAAAAAAAUCAAUGUUCUAAGGGUUUUUAGGAUCGGGAUUAUGCGAUUGCUCGCUCCCGAUGUCAAUUGAUCCACCUCAGCCGUCGACAUGUCGCCGCCUACGGACGAAGGAGAUUUAACGACGAAUAAUAUGCGACGGAACAAGAGAAUGAGAAUAAAAAUAAAAUCAGAGAAUUUAAUAAUUAUCAACAAAAAUGAGGAUCACGCAAAGAAUAAGAAAUGAAGGAGAGACUUGCGAACGCCUCUUUAUGUCGUAUUUAUAGACGUGCAGAAGAGAGAGAGAGAGGACGAAAAAGAUAUGAUUAGCUGGAGCACGAAUGAUCGAAGUCAUGGUGAUCAACAACGUGGCGUCAUUUGGUGGUGUGGAAGAUUUUAGGUCAACCGAGAGAAUUAAAUAUGAUUGGUCUGCGGUUUAGACUCUACAUGGAUUUAUUCCGGAUUAAAAUUGACGGUCAUGAUAGAAUGUACUGGAGUGUGCGAAAGCUGAUGGAAGAUAAGGCAAUCGACAUCGAAUCACUAGAAAGUACAGUGAAGGUCACUUCUAUAUCCUUUUUCCUCUAAUUUAUCGCGCUAUAACCGGCAGCUCGGCUCAACUUAUGGCUAAUAACUAUCAUUUACGGACCGUCUUAAUUCUGAUUAUCUUAAUAUCACUGGACGGAAUAAAGCGUGAACGUCAGCAUAUUUUAUAUCUGAAUAAAAUAUAUGAUCACAUAGUUAUUUCUUUUGAAAUAAUCAACGCGUUUGUUUAUUUAUUUGAGUAUUUAAUAAAUGACGUAAAUGUAUUUGAGAAUUGAUAUGGCGGGCUCGGAGGUUCAAAUCAAAUCUUCCUCCUAUGUUACUGUACACCUUUUGGAAAAAAGUACACGUAAGCUGAGCUGAGCUGGAACAGAACGAGCCGAGCCGAUUGGAGUGGCUUACAAGAGUUGUUAGUGGCGGAGGCCGGAGAGCAGUUAGAGACGUGAAUAUCAACAGUGAGAGACGGCGAAUUCUAGCCGCACAAACCUUUUAAUUGUCGUCAUAGAGAUGCCGCCACGUGGUGUGGGGACACUCUGAGAAUAGACUUUGCACCGCAAAUUUAGCGGUCUUUUCGAGAAAAGUUAAAUAAACUGAAUAAUUAUAAUUUCAAUAUUACUUUUAUUCACUUUAUAAAAAAUAAUAAUGGUAAUUUUAUUUUGAAAAAUUAUUUUUACAUGUAGACAUUUACUUACUAAAAUAUUCCGACAUGUCCCAUACACCACUUAUGUUUUAAAAUUUUUUAAAUCAAUCACUUUGUCAUUAAUAAUAUUAGAAUGUAUUAAUGAAUUUAAGUAAAAUGAUCAUUUCAUCCUUGAAUACAUUAAAAACUUGAAAUUUUAAAAAUUAAAAAAUGUAUAAUUAUAUAAGAAGCAUAACUAUAGACAUACAGGAAAGUUAGAUGAAUGCUCUUUAAUUUUAUUUUUCUUUUGUAAAUAACGAUUUUUUAAUUUUUUAAUUUUUCACAGUUCCAAAGACUAUAAUGAUCUUUUAAUAUAUUUAAGAGUGAAACAAUCAUUUUGUUUAUAUUGUUAAACAUAUUAUAAUGUUAUUAGAGAUGACAAUUGUAUUCGCAAACCCACAAAUCCACUCAAACCCGCCUGUUGUAGGUAAUUUUAUGGUUGCGGGUGAGUUUAGUAUUAUAAAUUGAAACUCGUACUAGGUUGCGAGUGGGUUUUGUAUUAGCUAAAUAUCCAGUGCAUACCCAUAUGGAUAUCCGUCAACCCGCAACUUUUUUUAAAGAUAUUUUUAAUUUAAUUUUAAUUGAAAAAAUUUAAAUAUAAAAAUAUAUAAAGUAAAAAAUGUAAAGUGUAAAUGUGUGUGCAAGUUGCAACGUGCCUAAGUCCUAACAUGCUUUAAUUUAAUGCAUUGAUUAUUAUAUACUUAUUAUAAUUUUGUAUGGACUAUUAUUCUUUAACUUAAUGCAUUGAUUAUUUCAUUAUUCUUUUGUUCUUCAUAUUAGUAUUUAAAACAUAUUAUUCUUUAGAAAAUAUUAAACUUAAUUAUUAUUGUAGAAAUCAUGUUGGAUGGGUACUAAUGGUGGUGAAUGAAAUAAAAAUCUUCUCUUGGGGCUUAUGUUGAAUGAUAAUGUGAAAUAAUAAUUGUUAUUUUUAGAUACCAAUUUGUGGCUUUUUUUUAUUGAUUUAUGUAUUUUGUACUUAAAUUUGAAAAGUUAUGUUGGAUUGAUGUUGAAAUUUAAAAUUUUCAUUUACAUUGGUUAAAUUUAAAAUUGAGUAUGUUAAGUGAAAUUUUAGGUUAUUAUUUUAAAUUUAUAUAUUGAGCAUUUGUUAUUUUAAAUAUUGAAACCCGUAAAAAAUCGGCCGACUACUAUUGCGAGUUUGGUAAUUGUCAAAACCCACAGGUUGUGGAUUUUCUUAAAAAAAUUAAAACCCGCAACAGAUUGCGAGUGUGUUUAGUAAUUUAAAUUUUGUGCGGGUUUGAGUUUGGCAAUGGCAAACAUGCUGCGGACGGUGCCCAUUGCCAUCCCUAGGAAUCUUGUUGGAUAUGUGCUAAUGGUGGUAAAUGAAAUAAAGAUCUUCUCUUAGACCUUAUAUUGAAUGAUAAUAUGAAAUGAUAAUUGUUAUUUUUAGAUAUCAGUUUGUGGUUUUUUUAUGGAUUUGUAUAUUUUAUACUUAAAUUUGAGAAUUUGUGUUGGAUUGAUAUUGGAAUUUUGAUUUUCCAUUUACAUUGGUUAAAUAUUAAAAUUGAUUAUGUUAUGUCGAAUUAUAGGUUAUUAUUAUAAAUUUACGUAUUGAGCAUUUUGUGAUUUUAAAUGUGGAAACUCACAAAAAAUCUACCGAGUAUCAUUACGAGUUUGGUAAUUGUCAAAACCUGCAGCGGGUGGAUUUUCUUAAAAAAAAUAAAAACCAACCCAUAGCGGGUUGCAGGUGGGUUUAAUAAUUUAAAUUUUGUGUGGGUUUGGGUUUGGUAAUGGCAAUCUCGCUGCGGGUGGUGCUUAUUGCCAUCCCUAAACAUUAUUGUGGUACAACAGUUGAUUGAUACAAAUUUGAAAAUACUGCAAAUGCAUAGAACAAGUCAGAACUUUUUAAUAGUUAUAUGUAUAUAUGAUAAAACAAUGAUGACGCCAAAAUUUACUUUUAUCCCCAUCUGCCACCUUAAGUAGGCAACAACAAAGUUUACAAAAGUCAAGGCAAUUUAAAAAAUGUCAAGGGAAACCUUAAAAUCCUCUCUUCUCUCUCUUCAGAGAAACCUCUUGUCUUACCAAAAUAGAGCUUUUGGCAAGAACAUUAAUUCUUUUUUUCCCCCAUUUUUUAUGGCUUCCCUUGAUGCCUUCUUCUUGUGAAGGUUUCUCUCUCUUAUCUUGCCAAGGGUUUUCCCUUCAAAGUGGAGGUUAUCUUUCCACCCAUUUGGUGGUGGGGGUACAUUAGUUUAAUGGUGGUGGUGGACUUGGCUUUCGUUGGGCUUUGCAAAUUUGGUAGUUAGAGAUGGAUAGAAUGGAUCAAUCCCUUAAUUUUUUUGUUCUUCUGCUUUUAGUAGAUUUAUUGGGUAAAAUCUUUCAUGAAUUAGAAAUUCUUAAUCUCUAAAUAUGUUAAUAUUUGUUUUUUACUGUCUGAGCCUACAUUUCGUUAUUCUAUUUAUAGUACUUAAAUUGAGAAUAGUUUUGUAUUUGCGUCGCAAUGACACUUGUUUUUAAGGUUAGGCAUUCAAUUCAGUAUUUUUCGAACUAAACCGAAUCGAACUGAAUCAAAUCAAACCGAAAUUACUCGGUUUGGUUUAGCUCGGUUCAAUAAGUAAAAACUAAAUAGUUUGUGUUUUCAUGAACAUGAUUGUUUAUGUUCAGUUGGCGGUUCCAAAAUCGAACUGAAUGCACAAACCGAUCGGUUCAUGCAAUUUAAUUUCAAAAUUAAAAGAAAAUCCUGGUCGGCUAAGGUGUGGUUAAUACUUAAUUAUUAUGUCAAAGUCUUGAGCCAUUUGAUCAAAGUUAGGUGCAUUGGAUCUUCUAGAUGGCAAAGCUACAAAAACAGUAAGCAGUAACCAAUAGCAGUCAAGCACCUAGUUAGCUCGCGCCCCUCUCUUUCUCUCAUGGUCACUUUCACUCACUCUGUCUCAUAUCUCUCUUUUCUCAUGUAUCAGUCUCAAUACUCACUACUCUUUCCACUAACGUCACUCACGAAUCAUCGCACCUAGCUAUCUGAUAAGUAAGGUUGGCAAUUAUGGGUGGGCAAAAAAAACUGAUUAGUUAAAAAUCAAACCGAUUUUACAGUUUUUUACACCCAAAAAAUCAAAUAAAUAAUAUAAUAAAAAUAGUAAAAUCAAUCGGUUUAAAAAAUAAAAUUAAAAAACCGAACCGAUUAUCAAAUAAACCGAAUAACAAUCUGGAAUCCCUAAACCUAAAGUGAGUAAAGUGACUCUAAACCGAUUGUCCACUUCAGAAGUUCUGAGUUCUGAUUUUCAACCACCGAACUCGUAACCUUCAGCCGUUGGAAUCUCGUCCCCGUUGCUCGUCACCGCCGCUGCUAAUUGUCUCCGCUGCUCGUCGCUGCUGCUUGUCGCCGCUGCUCGUCGCUGCUGCUUGUCGCCGCUGCUCGUCGCUGCUGCUUGUCGCCGCUGCUCGUCGCUGCUGCUUGUCGCCGCUGCUCGUCGCUGCUGCUUGUCGCCGCUGCUCGUCGCUGCUGCUUGUCGCCGCUGCUCGUCGCUGCUGCUUGUCGCCGCUGCUCGUCGCUGCUGCUUGUCGCCGCUGCUCGUCGCUGCUGCUUGUCGCCGCUGCUCGUCGCUGCUGCUUGUCGCCGCUGCUCGUCGCUGCUGCUUGUCGCCGCUGCUCGUCGCUGCUGCUUGUCGCCGCUGCUCGUCGCUGCUGCUUGUCGCCGCUGCUCGUCGCUGCUGCUUGUCGCCGCUGCUCGUCGCUGCUGCUUGUCGCCGCUGCUCGUCGCUGCUGCUCGUCGAGUCUUCGUCGCUGCUGCUCGUCGCAUUAACAAAUGCAUUGUGGCUGCUUGUUGGUUUAGACUUCUCAUAACUUUUUCUUUAUUACCAAAAUCGACCAGUAUAAGAAACAUUACCAGUGUCCCUCAAACAAUUACUUAUCUUGUUUUCUUUACGCAUAAUUUUUUAGGGUGCUUAAUCUGGCUGCGGUUUUUACAGGGCUCCUACACACUUAAGAUGACAAUGGAGGACAAGAACUGACUUGCUUUAGCUUCAACUUCAAAAUUGGCUUUCAUUCUCUGGUCUCUGAUAGUUAAAAGUGCCCAGCACCUUUUUAUAAUCUCUUGCGUUUCGAGCGGUCAAGUUCAUCCUUAACACCAACUCAAUGUAAACAAGUGUGCGCUCUAUGCGGCUGCUUGUAUAUUAUUUUAGUUCUGUGUUCAAUGGUGUUUGAUGUUGUAAUAUUCUUGUAAGAUUCGUAUUUGUAAUAUGUGCUCUGUCUGUGUGUUGCAUUUCUUCUCAAGGGUAAAGAUGUCAAUGGACUUGAUUCGCGAAUGGUGACUAUUGCUCUUGUGAUCCUUGAAAGUUAUCGAGUCAUGUGAUAUAAAGUGAUUGUUUAUAAAGUUAUCCUUGAAAGUUAUCGAGUCAUGUAUAAUAUGUCUAUCGUGGCAUAUGAUACGAUAUUUUCACUCUUAGCUAAUCAUUCUAAUAUUUUUGUUUAAUUUGUUAAUGUAGAAUUUGGUAGAUCAAUAGUAGCUCAACAAGAACAAGUAGUUGAGGAGUAAUUGAGAUUUGGGAGUUGAUUGAUGUUUAUUGCUUUUGUAGUUUUAUUAAAGUUUAAAAGAUUUUUUGCUUAUUUAUUUUGAUUUGAACUUUGUACGGAGAUGUACAAGAAAAGAAAAGUGGCUAUGAACUCGGCUAUACCGGCCCUGUAAAACGACCAAGACUUGAGCUCGCCGGGCUCAAAGAGCGGCGCCGGUGGGGGCUCAACGUAGUCCUUCCCAUCUUGGGUCUGAGCCGCCGUCCCAAUCGGCUGCCUCUCGGCGAACUUGUUGGCUCCCAGUCUAACAUCCUCUUCUUUACCUUCCAUUUCUGCUAGUCCCUCAAAAACACAAAACAGUCAAUAAGAAGCACUUGCUUUUUUGUUUGUGGCCGUUUGAUGUUGUGAUGAGAAUGAGUGAGAGAGUACUAGAAGUUGGGGGAAGGGGGUUAUAUCAUCCGGAUCAGGGAGUGAUGAGUGCAGGUGGUGGGCUCCAAUUUGGUGUAUAAAAUUGAAUUUACUUACUUAUCUUGUGACCGACCAAUCAUUUUCUUGGAAUUUUGUGGAAAUUACUUAAAUGCGCUUAGACUAUUUAGAAAGAAAAAUGACAUUACGUUGGGGUAUCCUAGCUGGCUCAAUUUCAUCCACAUCUGUAAUGAUGUUGUGGCCACCGUCCAUCAAGGGUCAAGCAGACCGAGUGGGUGGGAAUUGGGACAUGAUGAUCACGGGAUUUAUUACGUAAUUUCAUUGCUCUUUUUAGGGCAAAUUACAGAAACCAAAGCAAGUAGGUUAUUUAAUUUUAAUUUCGUUUUACACUCUCAAAGUCUUUCUCAUUAUCAAUCAGCUUUAUUGUCAUUUUCUUAAUGUGAAUUAUGUCGGUUGCUCUGGCCUAUUGUCCUUUCCGUGUGUCCAUUUCGCUCUAAGGAAUUGGUUCACUGGCACGACUGUAACUUUACGAAUUGAUGCCUCCAUGAAUUAGUCCGUUCCUAUUUGAAUGGCUUUAUUUAUUUUAUCCGUCGUUGUUUCAAAAUAUUUAUUUAGAAGUCGAAGGCUCGGUUUAGGGUUGGCAAAAUCCUGGGUUGGGUUCGGGUAUCGCAAUGUCCAGACUUAGUUUGGAUGUAAUUUUUAGAUGUUCGGAUCAAGUUUUAAUGCGAGUACCUAAAUUUUAUAUUUUUUAAUAUUAUAUGUGUAUAUUUUUUUUGGUAAUUUUAUAAGUUUUAAAUUUAUUUCAAUAAAAUUUGAUAUAAAAAUAUAAACUUUAAGUGUUUAAAAUUUUAUAUCUGUGUAAUAAAUGAGUCAAAUAAAUAUAAAUAUUUAAAAUAGUAUAUAUUUUAUAAUAUUUUUUUAAUAAAAUUUGCUGCUGUACCGUACAUCCGCCUUGGCCGUACAGCAGUAUUACUUUUAUUAUUUAAUUUCAGCCUUUAGAUUUCAACUUUGAACGUUACUUAAGUUAAAAUUAUAAAAUAAUUAAAAAUUUAGAAUAGUUUUAAAAUUAUAUUAUUAUACAUGGAUUUUAUAGUUGGUCCUCCUGUCUCACAAAUAAAGGUAGAACUUAUUCUUUCUUCUUGUCCCAUCCCACUUUAAUUUAGAUUGUAAAAAUAUGUCUCAAUCACAUUUCAAACAGGAUGAGAUCCUCUAACAUGAAAAAUUAUCAUCCCUACUGACAAUAUAUUUAGCUAGCUUGGCGAAGUGAUCGUCAUCGUGAUUCACAGAUUUAACUAACUUGUGGUAAUGAUCGUGAUUCAACCACCUUGUCGCUAGUUGUUGCCGUCGCAACCUUAAUCUUCUGAUCCUUUGAAUGAUAUUCGUUCUUAUCAAGAGAGAGAAAAAAAAAAAAAAGGUGUAAGGAGAUUUCGUGUGGGAUUUUGUCACAGUUUUGAUAAACACUACAAGCUUGCUUAAACGAUAAUCAGAAUAAACGAGUAAAGAAUUAGAAUUUAAUUCUGUCAAAUUUUGGUUUUUGUCCCUAAUUUUCAGAUAGCGUUACGAACAAUUUUGUACCCAAAUGACACUACACAAUGUUUAGAUAAACUGACAUGUAAACUCGUUCUUCUUGGAAUUCACCAAUAUAAUUUAAACGAUAAGGAAUAUGCUUGACAAGUACGAGACUGGAGUAGACAAAUGAAAAAAAAAAAACAAUCAAACAAACUCCCUCUGCGAAUUCUCAGAAGCAGCAGGGGAUAAGAACGAGCGGGUAAUUUUUAAAAAUUUCCCCUGAGGUUUGAGGCUAUUGCAAGUAGAUGGUGAAAAUCAUUUUAUUUGUAAAAGGCCUCCUACCGUUAGUUAAAAUUUUCAUUAACUAAUUGUUGACUUUGAAAAGACAAUAUUACCCCCAAUAUUUAUAAUUCUAAAUAUUUAUAAUUUUAUAAGUAAUUAAAAUAAUUAUUUUCACCAUGAUCAAGUUAUUGAUAUUUUCUUAAAAUCUUAAAAAAAUAAAAUUACAAAUCUUAAAAAUAAAAUUACAAAUCUUAAUUAUUUGCUUAAAAAAAUAAAAUUACAAAUCUUAAAAUAAUUUUUUUAAGUUUGUAAUAAAAUUACAAAUCUUAAUUAUUUGAUAUAAAAAUAUAAUUUUUUUAAAAAUUUGUAAUUUUAUUUUUUUUAAGAUUUUAAGGAAAUUUUAACUGACGUAAACUAUUAUUGGGGGUAAACUAUUAUUGAGGGUAAUAUUGUCUUUUUAAAGUUAACAGUUAGUUAAUGAAAAUUUUAACUAACGGUAGGAGGUUUUUUACAAAUAAAAUAAUUUUUACCAUCUACUUACAACAGCCUCAAAUCUCAGGAGAGGAUUUUAAAAAUUACCCAAGAACGAGCCCAUAAAACAAAAAUUAUAAGAAAAUAAUAUAGAAAAAUUAACGAGUUUAGCACCAAUUUGAUGGGACAAAAGCAAAAUGACGCAUAAAGAAAUGUAAAUAAUAAUAAUAAUAAUAAUUUUAUUAAUGUAAGGUCUGACAAAAAGAUUAAAGAGUGAUGACUUUGAGGAAGGGUAUGAUGCUUGGCUACCAGCGAACCAGCCCGCAGGAUGGGAAAUUAGAGCGCGGGCGGUUGGCCUUCAAUGCUGGACUCUCUUUCAUCCACUAGUGGUUAUCUAUCACAUUCAAGCGACUUGUCGUUUCGUGGAUGUGAUUUAAACAUACAUCGACGCAUUUAACUUUCUGUACAUAACACGGCAUAACGUAUUAUUAUGGGCACCGAAGCGUGAAGAAAGUGAUUCAACAAAAGAAAAAGAAAAAAAAAAGCCAUAAAGGCAAGUUAGCCAAAAUCACUAUUUUCCAUUGGUUAAUAUUUUUUUAUGUUAUGUGGUGAGUGUUUCUUACUCUUAGUGCCAGUGCAACUCAAUUAAAAAAAAAGAAGGCUUUAUUCCAUGAUAGUGCAGAACAUCAUUUGACUUAAAGCUCCACCAUUAGUUCUAUAUCAAUGGAUGAUAUCAUAAUAAAUAUUCCGAAGCCGUUGGUGAAAGUCUUCGUUUUAAAGUAUGUGGGUCAUGCUUUUGCAAAAAAAUAAAAAUAAAAAAAAUAAAAAAGUAUGUGGGUCAUGGGUGAUGGGCCAGUCACUCGAUGACCUAGCAAUUGGCAAUCUUCACGUUCCUUGCGGACAAGUUUGAACUUUGAACUCACCCGUGAGUAGGGAUGGUAAAACCCCGGGUCAGAUUCGGGUAUUGCAAUGACCGGACUCUAUCCGGAUACAAUCGGUCUAGGUUCGGGUUUGGGUCUGGGUCGGGUUUUAAUUUGAGUACUCAAAUUUUAUAUUUUUUAAUAUUAUAUGUGUAUAUAUUUUUUUAUUUUUUGCUAAUUUUAUAAGUUUUAAAUGUAUUUCAAUAAAAUUUGACAUGAAAAUAUAAAUUUUAAGUGUUUAAAACUUUAUAUAUGUAUAAUAAAUGAGUCAAAUAAAUAUAAAUAUUUAAAAUAAUAUAUAUUUUAUAAUAUUUUUUUAAUAAAAUUUGGGUUUCGGAUUUAUCAAGUGAUGCCCAAGACCGACCCGACUUCAUAAUACCCGGCCCACAAUACCCAGGUACGGUCCGGGUCCGAACCGGGCGGGUAUUUUUGCCACCUCUACCCGUGAGUAUGAAUCAUUAGAUUUUCUAUCAUUUUUCAUUGCAAAUAAUUAAUAACUAUUUUCUAAAUUUUAUUGGUGUAGAUUAUUAAAGACGCGUUAGCGCAGCUGCCUCAAAUGCGCUAUAAGUUAUAUGCAACAUACUUCGAGUUAUGCUACUUUGAUAAAUUUCAAGAUGUGUUAUAAUGGGAAGAAUUCAAAUAAUCAGAAUGUUGUUUUAUUGAUUCAAAUUUUCAAGCUAUAUUUGAUAAAUUGGGCGCAUUAUAAUUGUAUAUAUUUAGACCUUUUAGCAAUGUACUUAUUUAAACAUACAUAUAUAUUUUUGGAUGUAUUUUAACUCUUUAUACAGUACUCUCACAAAAACAAAUAAACAAAAUAAAGCGGGGGUGUGUAAGUGAGGGGAUAUAUAUUUAUUUCAGCUGGUAGCCAUAUAAUGAUGAUAAUGCUUUAUGAACCUAUUUUUCAAAUGUGGUUCUUUCAUCAUAUUGAACGAACCCAAGCAUUAAGCAUUAGCUUUCAUUUUCUUUCCAUCCGAAGUUGAUUGAAAAUGAAAGUUGAAAGAUGCUUAAUGGACCACAAUGUUGCGGCUAUGUUGGAAUUAUCUUCUUUUUUAGUUUCUAAUUUGAAUGGUCAAAAUGCACACCACCCAGAGUCUCAUAUAUUUAUAGGAAAAAUGCUAAGUAUCAAGAAAAACGAGAGAAUGAAGAGAGAAUGAAGCAUGUGGUGGGAGGAGAGAGAGAAAAGAAAAGCUGGUAGCGGAGAGAGAGAAAAGAAAAGCUGGUAGCAGAGAGAGAGAAGAGGCAAUUCUCUCGUCUUUCUCUCGUUGUUCUUGAUAUUUAGCAGCACUCUAUUUUAUAUGGAUGAAAACAAUUUUUUUUUUAUUUAAGGAGAGUUUUUUUUUAUAUAUAUUUUUCGUACAGGCUUUACACUUUAGUCACAAAAUCGUUGUUGUGAAACCCUAGCUUCAACAUAAUUUCUUAAUCAGAAAACUCAAAAGAUGUUCAUCAAAAAAGGGUAAUUUUUAAAAACCUCCCCUGAGGUUUGGGCUUGUUGCAAGUAGAUGGCGAGAAUUGAUUUAUUUGUAAAAAACCCCCUACCGUCAGUUAAGUUUAACAUUGACCGUUAGUUGACCGUGCAAAGACAAUAUUACCCUUAACAAUAGUUUGUAAACGAAAAUAACUAAAAAAAAUCAAAAUUAUUAGUGUAAAAAGCACAAACCCUAUUUUUUGACAAUUUUAUCCUUGUCAAUUCUAAAAAUUUACAAUAUCAUAGGUAAAAAUUAUGACUAUUUCAUUUUUAAAUUUUUAAUUUUAUCUUUCUUGUAGGAAUUUUAAGGAAAUAUCAAUAAUUUAAAGAGGAUUUUUUAAUUUUAAUUUUUUAUAAGAACUUUAAGAAAAUAUCAAUAAUUUAAAAAGUGUAAAAUAGCUAAUAAUUUUGGUUUUUUUUUAGUUAUUUUUGUUUAUAAACUAUUGUUAAGGGUAAUAUUGUCUUUGCAGGGUCAACUAACGGUCAAUGUUAAACUUAACUGACGGUAAGGGGUUUUUUACAAAUAAAUCAAUUCUCGCCAUCUACUUGCAACAAGCCCAAACCUCAAGGGAGGUUUUUAAAAAUUACCCCAUCAAAAAAUGAUUACUGGAGCAUGGGGGCUGGGGUUUCUUUUUCAAAAAUGGGCCGGUAUUUAAAACUCCACGUAAAACAUCUGGGUUCCAUAAUAAGUCAAUUAUUAUGUUGUGGGUUGGGCCACGAUAUUGCCGUAUUCAAUUUGCAUUGGUGUACGAUAACCCAUGGAGGGUACAUGAUGCUCCGGCUUCGAAAAGAUUGGGACUAUUGGCACCCUUAAAAUACCUCUUAAAAUUUCUUUAAUUAUUUUACAAUUUUAAUUUUUAUUAAAAUUAUAAAAAAUGAUAAUUUUUAAUUAAAUCUCAAUCAAAAGUUAAAUAAUUUUUUUUAUUUUAUAAAUAAAAAAUGUUACUUUUUUAUGUAAUUUUUGGGUGAGGAAUUUAUCAUCGAUGACUAUAUUGAAGAGAAUGAAAAUUCAUUAUCUUUUUUAAGAGAUCCAGUUGUUAAAAUAAGUUUUAAUAAUAAAAAAAAUAAAAAAAAUAGAGUUUACACAAUAAAUUUUACUUAAGGAUAUUUUUAUCAUCGAUGGAUGUGUUAAAAAAAUUUUAUAAUUUUUAAAAAUAUUUUAAUAACAUUACUUAUAAAAAAAAGAUGUUAAAAAAUAUUUAAAGGUGUGCUAGUCCCAUUCUUUUAAAAAAAUAUGGGGCCUGAUAAAGACAGGGACCAACUUUCUUACAGUACAGUGUUCAGGACUUCCAAGCGAAGGUCGGGGCCUCAUUACUUCACUUUUUUUUUUUUUUUGUCUUAAUGGAUUCUUAAAAUUUUAGUUUUUUUAUUUUUAUUUUUCGAGGUGAAACGACACUCACCUCGAAAGUUUGCUCGAGGGGACAACAGAACGACUAGAUCAUUCUUUUAAAAUUUGACAGCUAGCGUCAAUUUUCGUUGUUUUAAUUAGUAAUGGACAUUUAAAUCGGUUCCAUUAAUCAAUUUCACCUUUCUUUUUUUUUUAAAUUUAAACUGAAUUACUUUAUUGAAAAAUAAAAAAAAGGAACUACAACUGUCUGAGGAGGACACAAUGAGAAUUACCUCAUAGAAACUGCACAAAGCUAAAGUGAAAAAAAAAAUGUAAUAUAUAUUACCGAAAUGUUCAUAUACAAAAUUACUGAAGAGGACAAAUACUUUAAUUGAAUAAAUCAAACUCUUAUGCAGCCCCCAUAAACCCUAACACUCCCCUUAAUUUUAAAAUUAACUCUCAAGUCCCCAUUUAUUUUCUUUUUUCUGAUACUUUUAUCUUUAAAUUGUUGGAUAAUUGAAAUUAUUGGAUAAUCGAACUGAUACAUAACUUCCUUUUUUUUUUUCGGGAAAAGAGACAAAGCGAUUUUUCCUAAGUCCAAAUGCUAGUUAAAUAUAUACCAGAUGAAUUAUUUUGUAGAAUUUCAAUGGAUUAUAGAAGAUUAACAAACAAAGCAUCAAAUAAAAGAAUAAUCUUACUACAUGAAUCAUAUCUUGAUUUGAAAACAAUCGCUUUCUAACAACUUUUGGGAAUUUGAACUUCUAAUUUUUUGUUAACGAUCAAACAAGGAAUUGGGGUGGGGGGAAUGUUUAGAGUUUAAUUUUGAUAGAUUGAAAGGGAAAUAAGAUGGAAUAUGAAGUUGUAAUUUAGGGUUAAUUUUAGAAUAUAGAGUAGUUUAUAGACUAAAAUUUUAAAAUUUAAAUCACAAUAAAGGGUUUGUUAAGAAAAUGAGUAUUAAAAUCAAUUUUUGGGUUCAAAUAACCACACCCUAUUGGACAUUAUAAACUUUAUAAUACUACAACUAUAAAGUUGAAGUGCCUCUAUCUAUACAACUAUGUUAUGAAACAAUUCAGAUAUCUAUUUAUAUAGGUUCUGUUGAUGCCGAAAUCCGGAUGAGUUGGUUAAAUCUCAGAUCCCUGCAUCAGCAUUAAAUUUGUUUGGUGGGAAGCCGCUGAUUAGUUAGCACCAUGAGCAGAUUUUCUAUAAGCAGAUGUUCCAUGAGCAGACAACUCAUGAGCAGAUGAUCCAUGAGCAGACAACCCAUGAACAGACAAUCCAUGAGCAGAUAACCUGUGAGCCUGUGAGCACAACCAACAGCCAGGAGGCGCCGGAAGUUUUUCCGGCGAGAACCCUGCGACGCUCAAGUCAGCGAUUUGGGUCUUACUUGGAAAAACCUAUACCACAAUUCAUGUGACUUAAUUAUGAUUGCUUUAAACAAAAAAGCUUUUAAGUAAAUUUAAAGGAAAAUAAUUGAGAAUAAUUAAUCUUAAAGAAAUCAUAAGCGAAAGAGAAAUUUUCCAGUGGUAGAGAGAGAAAAAGGUCCAAUGGGUUCAGUUGCCCAGAGAGAGAGAGAGAGAGAGAGAGAGAGAGAGAGCUCGAAGCCCCCCCAUUUCUUUUCAUUUCCUAGGGUUUUUAUAGGAAACUAUAGCGGUUUUUAUCCUCUCCCCUAGAAUUCUCAAGAAAACUAAUAAUUUUCAGCCCACUAAGAAUAUGGUCCCUAAUAUUUCGGAGAAACUAUUUUGACUGAAUCGUGCUUCCUGGUAACUCCCUGGUCGAGGUGACCAAUAACAUCCUGGUCGAGGUGAUGUGUUCGAGGUCACCACAUAUUAUUAUGGUCGAGGUGACCCAUAACAUCCUGAUCAAGGUGAUGUGCUCGAGGUCAUCACAUAUUAUUCUGGUCAAGGUGACAAAUAAUAUCCUGGUCGAGGUGAUAUGGUCGAUGUCACCACAUAUUAUUCUGGUCGAGGUGAUAUGCUCGAGGUCACCACAUAUUAUUCUGGUCGAGGUNNNNNNNNNNNNNNNNNNNNNNNUACCAUUUUGCUGCUGUACCGUACAUCCGCCUUGGCCGCUAGUCGAGAUGAUCUGCUCGAGGUGACAAAUAACAUCCUGCUCGAGGUGAUGUGCUCGAGGUCACCAAACAACAUCCUAGUCGAGAUGAUCUGCUCGAGGUGACAAAUAACAUCCUGGCCGUGAUGAUCUGCUCAACCAUUUGCUCACUUUUACUUUGAGGAGAGCACGAUAAUGUAUGAGCAAACACAUUUAUCUUGGUCACCCUAUUUCAUUCCCUAAACAGGUUCUAUCUAUUUAUUUUAUUUAAGAAAACCUUAUGUAUGCAUUGAAGAGACAUAAAGGGCAGUGGUUUGUCAAUUAUGGCUGAAAUUAAUAAAAGCACCACAAAAACUAUAAAAAAAAAAGCCAAAUACUUUAUUAGGCAAAUCACAAAUUGCCAGCUUGGUUCAUGGAAAGGUCCGAAUAACCCAUAAACCUGCAAUUGCAGGGGUGAUUGUGGCUGGUCAGUAUUGAUGCAUAUACUAAUUAAUUGAGAAAGCCCACAGGAAGAUCAUAAAUUAAAAUUAAAAUUAAAAGGUCAGUGCUACGUUACAAUUAAUGUAACAUACACCCACACAUAACAAUAGUGGUGGGUCCUACUAAUGGGUACUAUUAUUGUGUGUGGGUGUACGUUACAUUAAUCGUAACGUAGGAGCUCCAAAUUAAAAUAUAAAAAAGAAACAUAAGGGUUGUAGCUCUCUCUCUCUCUCAAUGUAUACAUUAAAAAUGUUUCAAUUAGAAAUUUCUGACCAUAUUACAUUCAGAGAUAAGUUAAAAGAUUAAAAAGAUACAGACUCAGAUACCGUAUAUAUUAUUUUUCUCGUGAAGUGACAAUUUUGGAACUACCCCCUUACUAUUGAAAACACUAAGCUACCCCUCAAAAACCGUUAUCUUUAACCAUUGACCGUCGUUAACUCAUGAAAGUGCAAAAACACCCAUACUCCAACAGAAUAUUCUCGUAAUAGAAUUAUAAAGCUCAACAAAAAUAGUUAAUAUAUGACAAGUCAUUAAAAAUGUAAAAAGUUAACUAUUAAAAUAUUAAUAUGUAAGCAUGGAAGAAAAGAUUAAAAAAAAUGUUGAAAUGACUUAAUGGGCCUGAAUAAAUAAGUAGUUUUCCUGAAUUAGACAUGUUAGUUAAGUAAAUUAUAAGCUAUGUUAUCACUUGCAAAUUACAAGAACACAAAAAAUCAAAUUGAAAUUUUUUUGACCCAUUUGUAGUUGUGUCAUGUAAUGUAAAUUACAAGUAUGCCAUUACCUCAAAAUUUAAAUUUUUAUCACAACGUUAUCUCAUGAUUACAAAGACCCCUGUACACAAAGCACCAGUCCCAAAGCAUUGAAAACCAGCCUUUUAGAAUGUCGUCCUCUAAGGAAAGCUCUAUAACUUUUUUGAUGAAGUAAAAGAAGAGAAGUUACAAGUGAUUGACAAGGUCAUCAAGUUCAUAAAUAAAUCGUGUACUAACUAUGGUGAGCGAGCAACAAUCAAAGUUCUUUAAUCUGCUGUAAAUCCUAAGAGGCUUUAUUACGAAUGUGAGAAGAUAGGACGCGAUUACUUUAGGUGGUGUAAGAGGAUUGGGUAAGUUGCAAGAUGAAGAAGAGAACCAUACUUUCCAUCAUAAAAAUAAGAAGUUAAUAGUAAUGACCACCAAGCUAAAUAGUUUAUUGCAAAAUCAAACAAGAUAAAUAGUUUAUUGUAUACUAUUAUCAUAAUGCAGUCACUAUAUAUUAUGUACAUUUAUCAUCUUGGAUAGAAAAUAAAAUAGGUUGAUUACAAGGCUUAAAUAAUAGAGAUAAAUAAGUGGAGAUGAACAUAAGUAAUCAAAAUGUUGAAUUUCAUUAUCAAAAGUUGUAGUUCAUUAUAUUUUGAUAGCACACGAGUUGUUCUUCCUAUAUAUAUAUAUAUAUAUAUACCCUAUCUAUAACUAUGAAAUCCAGAUCAAAGAGCUCUUGGAAUGCUGUGCAGAAGUUCCUAAUCAGUUCUGGGCUAGAGGACAACAUUUUGUGUCUCUACCUUACAAAGAUUGAUGGACCAUGCCUCACCAGACAGCCUCUCAUUCCUCUUAAUAAAAGUAACCUUCGAUUGUUGGUUAUUAUUUUGAUAAUAAUAUAUCUAUAUUCAGUGUAUUCGUAUACUCCUUAGAGAUAAGGAUCAAUAAUGUAAAUAGUGUGUAAUAGUAGAUCCCUUGACCCUAUAAAACGGAGCUCAUGGUCUGUGUCUAGGCAUCAAGUCAUGGAGUACAAUCUUGUAUUUGUAAAUCUCUCAUUUUUUUUUAAUAGAAGUAACCUUCGAUUGUUGGUUAUUAUUUUGAAUUGGUAUCAGAGCCAUACUUCCCAAAAGGAAACCCUUGGGUGUGCAACAAUAUUAUGCUCUGUGGUUGUCGAAAUACUUCAGAUCCUCCACAUUAGAAAGUUGUUGGAUACUGAUCUACCUGUCCAAAAUUUCCACAGAUAAAACACCUGCCAGAGCCCUUCUUCUGUUUCUGCCGUUUGAUGAAGCAGUAUUUCUUUCAUUUAUAGGGUUUCCAGGGCCUUUUCUCUUUUCUCUGUUUGCUAGUAUUGCAAUAACACAUUUUAUCUGUAUGUUGGCAACCAUAUUUAUUUGGUUCCUCAUUAUUUGUGUGUUGGCAACCAAAUUUAUUUAGUUCCUCAUUGUAAAAUUUCUGUAACGAUGAUUUUUUAAUGUGCUUCAUGUGCUUCCUUAAGUCUUGUGAUCUGCAAUGGCUUUGGAUUAAUUCCAUUGCCAUUUGAUAGAGUUGGGCUAUGCUGAGCAAUGAUAAAUCAACAAUUGCAUCAGCUUUUAGCUUUGCCUCCAUCAUUUCUGCAACUGGUCCUGGUAUGUUCAGCACGAACGUUCUGUAGAUGGUGUCCGAGGUUUUGUGAAAGGUAUAGUAUAGCCUUUCCUGCUCUAGGUAAUACUCUUCCAUUUUUCUGACAUCACAACACUUGUUUCGGAGAAAUAGCUUUUCUGUAACCUCUUCUUCUCAUGUGAAUUGCCCUAAGAAAUCUAAGGAUAGAUUUUCUAGAAGGUUUCCACAAGGGUCAUCCUUGUUUAGUAUGUGCUGUCUCUCUUCUCUCGUGAGUUUUCUUCCCCACCAUCUUCUCAACGAGCCUAUGAAUCCUGCUACAAACCUCAUAGCAGCUGCUCUUCUGGUUAGCUGAGGGGCUCUUUGACAUUCGCCUUCGUACCAAGCCACCAUUUUUUCAAAAUAAUAACCUCUUCCUAGUACUUAUUUAUUGAACAACAAACACAACACAAUCAUUAACAUGUUUUAAACAAACUUAUAUCACAUGUUAUAUAACAAAAUCUAAGUGCAGAAAAUUUAUCUGGAUACGAAAUAAAAGAAGGAAGAGAUUUAUUUUAUAACUCAAUGAAGAUCGAAGGAGAUAUAGAAUAAAGAAAUUAAAGUGCCUAGAAAAUACUCUAAAAUAUCUCAAUUAACUUAACUAAAAAAGCAAACAUGCUCCUGAACUUAUCCAACAAGCAAAUAAUCGAUUUUUACAUUAAAAAAAAGAGUAACAAACUUAUUAAUUUGUUCAACCAAAAAUAAAAUAAAAGUCGUAAGUGACUUAAAACUGAAGCUAUAACAGUAAGUUCCUGCACUAAUUUAUGACGAUGUUACUUAUAUGACAUUGAUGCACAUUAAAAACUAACUUACAUUGAUAAGCAAAUAAAAUCAUUAACCCUAUCUUCUUGAAUAUAAAAUUUGAACAAACCUGAUAGUUGUGUUGUUGGUGUUGGAAUGGGUAUUGUAGUUGCUUAGGUAGCAAAACCCUUACUUGUGUAUGUGUGCUUGUCCUUGUCAUUAAGGCAUAACCAUUUAUUCAUAGAAAUAAUGCACCAAGGCUUGAAGUUAUUGCCAAAGUCUUCUGAUGCAUCUACAUAUUAUGAAUGUAAUAAAAGGUCAUUAGAGGCUAAUGAAAUAGAUGGUGGUAAUUGGGGAAAAAAAUAUAAAUUUAUGAACACACAGGAGUAUAAGCUUCACUAUCAUUGUUAUAGUCUUCUUGCUUGCAUUGGUUGGGUUAUGAGGACAACAUCUUGUAUUGUGCCCAAUGCCUUUAUAGUAUAUACAUGAAACUGUGAAUUUUCUCUUGUGGGAUGGGGUCUUGAUACAUUUUGAGGCCAGAUUUCAUCAGGCUCUAUGUGUGGCCACUUAGACUUGUUGAGUAGAGGAUGAAUGAUGCUUGAAUAACAUUUCAGGAAAGCCUCUUUUGUGAAGCAAGGAGCAACAUAUGCUUGAUAGGUAAGCUUUAAAUGAGUUACACAAUGCAUUGUACGACUACAUGAUAGACCACUAAUUUACCACUGCAAACAGUCACAUGUAUAAUCCUCUCAAUUAACUACAUAGGACUUUUUAUUAGCCAUACACGACUUAUUGAUAUCCUUAACUUCAAAUAACACUUCACUUACUAGUAUAACACGACAGAACCUUCCAAUUAUAAUUUGUUCAUUUUCUCAUUAAUAUAAGAAGGAACUUCAGUUCACUAUCUUUGACAUUCCCUCUUUAUUUCUAUGAUUGUAUAUAUCAUCUUAUUUCUUAUAUGCUCCAUCAAGGUGAUUAUUGGUCCCUCUCUUAUAUCUCCAAGCCAUGCAUUCUAACUCUUCGUCAUGUUGUUUGUUGUAUGAUCACAUUUGACUGAUUUUUCAAAAGCAUGAUCUGACCAAUAUUUUGGGUUGAUUUUCCUUAGCUAAUUGAAAGUAAGCUAAUUGAAAGUAUUUACAUCAAACUUCAUUAUAUUGUUCAUUACUUUUGUAUAAUCAUCCUUAUUUGUAACCUUGACAGCCUUUUAGUACUUACUUCUCAACUAUACAUUAGGAAACUGUUGAGUCAAGUUGGAAAAUACACGUCUUACACAGUAUUUGUUAAAAGAAAGAAGUGAUAAGAUUAAUCUUGGGUUACCCUCUGGUGAACUGAUAAAACUUUAAAUUACCCCCUUAAGUUUUGAAAACAUUAGGCAACACUUGGAUUAUAUUUUGGGUUAAUUAAAUCAUACAAAUGUAUAAACUUAAAAAAAAAACUUAGAAUUUUAUAAUAAAUCAAUAAAAAGUAAUAAUUUUAAAAGUUUUACAUAUCUAUUUUGUGAUCCGUAAAACUCCAAGUUCAAGGCAUUUAGUACGCCAUUCUGUCUAUCCGUCGUGAAGGUUAAUGGCCUUGAAUCAAUCAAAUACUCCUUUAAAUACCUUAUAAACCAUGUUUAGCUUAGUGUUCUUAGACUUACACACAUACUGCUAAUAGAAAGAUCCUUUAGUUUGAAUCAAGUGUAACUAUUGAUAACAGUACAUUGUCGAGUGACUCUUUCAAAUGACAUCCAUUAAGACUAAUAAAAUGGUCUACAACCCUCCUUGAAACCAUCUUUAAGUUCUGGGAAGUUGAUAAUGAACCUUUAGUACCAUACUUGUCUGUAAGGGUGCGUGAUUUUGUAACUUUAAUUUUAAUUUUUUUUUUACAUUUACACCACAAAUUAAUAUUUCCUUUGUCUUUUUUUAAUUUUAAUUUUAAUUUUUUUUACAUUUACACCACAAAUUAAUAUAACUAGAACAAAAUGGGGUUAGGUUGAAAAUAUUGAUUGAUUUGAUGUUGCCUGCACAUGUUAUCGUCAUCCACGUCCUUCUAUGCCUAACGACCAUUACCGAUUUAUACAAAUACCAUCAUACUCUUUUCACUUUUUAAACUAACGGAGAGAUAACAAGUUAGGGUAUCUUGAUGUUUUCAAUAAUAAAGCGGGCAAUUUGAAGAUCGUCACUUAACGAGAGGACAAUCUGAAAUUAUUAUUUUUUUAAUCUUUUACCUUAUCCCUAACUAUAAUAUAGUUAGGUAUCCCUAAUUACAAACCCUCUCUCUCCAUAUAUAAUUAAACUAAUUAGGAUAUAUACAUUAAUGCAUGCGUCUUCAACAGAGAGGGCAACGUCCAUUCAACUGGAUAAAUUAUACUAUUGCUUUUCCCUUUAAAAGAAAUCCGAAAUUAAUACGACCUUUGUGUUGAUAUCCAAAAGACAAACUUUUAAUAAGAGCUUUCAAUUUCCUUUCUUUUUUGGUCAACUUUUUUCCUUCUUUUCUCCAAGAUACAUGUGAAAGAGAAAGUAUAAAAAAUUUUACUUCUUGCAUUUUAAGAUAACUUCAACUCUCUAGCCCUCCCUCUCUCACUCACAUGAUUUGAUAUAUUUCUCGUGAUCAUAUUAGAGUUCUUUGGAUCAAUCUGUGUUCUGUUGUUUCAAGACAAAGAAAAGCUAAAGCAAAUUACUUUCUAUUUAAUUUUAUAGCUUUUAACGGAAAAAAGGAAAAUGACCCUUAUUAAAUGCUCAACUUAUGUGGUUGCAAUAGUCAAUCAUGUGAAUGUUCUUUUUUAUUUCAUCAUGUAUAUAACGCUAAUUUGCAUGAUAAACCCACUAAACUAUCAACGUAUUAGCUAGGUAAUCAGUAUUAACCAUGAAAAUAAAGUGUAAUUUCUAAUAUCUUGAUGAAAAAUCUAGCUUAUUCAAGACUCUUUUCUAUCUCAUACGUUAUUUGUUGACGUAUAGUUCCUUUAGUCCACAUAAAUUUCCUCUAGGGUUUCUAGAGAAAAUGGAUGUGCUAUAUAAACUGAAUCGUAGGAUCAUUUUCCUUAGAUCAAAUUUUGAAUGUCGUAACAUUCUUCUCUAAGAAAAUUUUCUCAAGUCCCUUAUAUAUCUUCCAAUAUUAUCCAUGGCACCAAACAGGGAAAACAUUGUUGGUUCAAUCUCAAGGUGCAACAACAAUUUUGUUCACAAGCCUCGACUAUCAAACGAAACUCUUCAGAGAACAAAAUCGGAUAUCUUAUUCGAGCUAAGAAAAGAAGAGUUCGAUGCAAAGGGAGAGCUUCCACCGAUAUCUGAGGUUGAGGAUGCAAAAUGCGAGUGCUGUGGCAUGUCAGAAGAGUGCACAGCCGAAUACAUAAAUCGUGUGCGAGAAAAGUUUUCAGGAAAAAUGAUUUGUGGGUUGUGUUCAGAAGCUGUGAAUGAAGAGAUGGAGAAGAAUGGAGGCAAAAGAGAAGAGGCUUUGAAUGAGCACAUGAGUGCAUGUGUGAGGUUCAAUAGGUUUGGUAGGACUCAUCCGGUAUUGUUUCAAGCUGAGGCCAUGAGAGAGGUGUUGAAGAAUUCUAGGGCUAAGUCAAUAAGUCCUAGGGAUAAAAAGGGCGGUAACGUAAAGAGAGGAGGAAUUGCAAGGAGCUCCAGUUGUAUACCGGCACUUACAAGGGACAUUAAUGAUCUGAAAAUAAUCAACUAACUAGUCAGGAUACCAGUUUGAUGAUUUUAAUUCCUUAAUUUCUUUGUAUGUAGAGUAAAAGAUAACUUUUAAGAAGAAGGUCAUCAUUUACACUACCCAGGCCAUCAUGGUCCAGGAAACCAUACUUUGCGAAACGAUAUAAUUUGCUUUCUGUUACUAAGUUUGUAUUACAUAUAUAAUCAUGCUUUCUAUUAACAAGUUUGUAUUAUUAUUAUAUGUAAGAAGUUGUUGUUGAAGUACUAUUUUAGUGGACAAUAUAUAAAUUUAUUUUUAACUUAUUGUCAAUCCCAAAAUUAGAAAUGUAAAUUAGCGGUACGUUGAUUUAUCUUUUGGAAAAAUUUUGAGUGACUUGGAAUAUUAUUGCAACCUUUUACAACUACUUUUUUGGGCCGUGAGUAUUUCAAACAAUCAGGAAAAUCUCAAAAAGCAAAUUGUUAGAGUAAGUUGAUUUAGCUUUUGGGAAAAAUUUUCGUAUUGUUUUGAAGUACUUCAUAUAUUUCAAACAAUCAGGAAAAUGUUCGUUUAAACGUGGCAAAAAAUGAAUGGAAAAUGAGUAAUAUUCUUAUAUCACCAUUAUUUCAUUUUGCGGUAAACAUAUUUUUUUUAGAUCUUAUUGAGAAUAUCUUCUAUAUAAAAUACCAAACAACUCAAUCUUAAACCAAGUUUAGGACUGAGGUUAAAACCUAAUAAACUAUUUAUUUCAUAGUUCUCACUACAAGAAGUUAGACUUU
rnacentral:lncRNA from 1 species